UUUUUUUUUUUUUUUUUUUUUUUUUUUUUUUUUUUUUUUUUAGAGAUAGGUAGCACACUAUCCGCUUCGUUUAUUUCAUUUAAAAAUAAAUUUAGCUAGAAAUGUGAAUCAACUAGGAUUCGAAUUUGGGUCUCGGAUGCCAACCACCAAACUCUUUGCCACUUGCUCUAGGGACGGUCGGUUUUAGAACAUGCAUAUUAAUGCUCGGCCUCUCAGGUAGAUUGGGUUUGUUAUGCAAGCCCGUGCUUUGCUUGAAGGGGCAAGUGGGCAGGUGAAGAAAUGUACAAAGUGUUGCAUGUCUGUUGGAUAGCGAAUCGCACUUGCAAAGUUGUUGGCCAAGCCAAGAUAUUGAUCAGGUCAAGUCGAGGACCGAGUCAAAGAAGUUUUCUGGUUCAAGAUCGGUUUUUGGAUUGAUUCUCGAAUACGUCACGAUCAAGCGAUUCGUUUGAAAAGAGAUCAGCUCAAUCAGAUUUAAUUUUCCUUAGUACAACAAGUUGAACUGAGGAUUAAGAGGCACUCGAUCGGCUAAAUGAGCCGAGCUAGUUGUAGCAGGGACUUGAAGCUUAUGUAGACUAAACUAUUUUUGAUCUGAAUUAAGCUAUUCUACUCCUAAAAAAACUCUUAAAAUGUAGAAAAGAAGAGAUAACAAAAGUUUUCUACUUCUAGAAAAUAGAAAUAUUGCUGUAAAUAGAGUGGUUUUCUUGUUCAUAGGGAAUAAAGACCCUUUUUUCUGGCAUCUUCGUGAUAUUUAUAGUACUGCUGUCAGCCUGCAGUUACCGGAUAACUAGCAUCGUGGGGAAUGCUACAGUCGUCUUUUUAUUGGUCUGGGAAAUUACUGCCACGUUUCUUGCCCAUAUUCUUAUUAGUUCGUGCCCAGGGGCUCCUUGUUUUUAGCGGUUCUUGAUGUACCACGUGUUAUAUUUUAAUUUGUCCAUGCUACUUUAACCACAUGUACCAAGCCGCAUACCAGGUAACGCUAUUUUUCUUGUGCCAACAAUGUCAUAAAGCAAAAAAUAGAUAACACAUGCAUCUCUCUUUUGAUUAAGGAACAUUUUGGUCCGAGAGUGUGUUUGGUUGUACGUAAAAUUGGUCCAAAAUCAAUUCUUGGUUAAAGAAAUAAAUUUUCAAAAUUUUAAGUUCAUUGUAAAUGUAGUUUAAUUCGUCGGCGAUCCUACAAAAAGCAGAAACACUUACAUUCCAUCACUCUCUUCUCUCCUCAGUUUCUUCCCCCUAUAAACAAAGAAAGUUUCUUGAAAUUUAUAUUCAAUUUAGGCAUUAAUAAAUGUAAAUUUCCUUUUCCAUGAAAGUUUUUUAAAAUUCUUGAGAAUUUUUUUGAUAGUUUUUUGCAAAACUAAAUCGAGAAGCGUGAAGGAACAAAAAUAAUUUAGGACAAGUUCUCCAGUACAACAUAAUUAAUUUAGAUCCUUAAUUAACAUUAAUUCGCUAUCAAUUUCAAAGCAAGGUUGAGUGUUAUCCGAUUGCUUGCAUCCUCAUUAUCCUAUUUAUGUGGCAUGGAUAUAUUUUUUUUCUAAGAUUGAGUAGAACAUAAUUUUAUACUUAACACUGCAUUUGUAGCCGAGCGAUGCAGGAGUUUGUUUAUCAAGUGUUUGAUCGAUUACAAAUUUCUGUAGUAAAAAUAUAUAAAACUUACAUUAACUAUUACCCUUUCUGAUCAAAUUACUUAACCUUUCAAAAUCUUGAUGAUUUUACGAUUUUACUACCUGACCUUUUUAAUAUAUUUGAUUUGAGCUAAGUAGUAACUUUGUAAAUUCAAAAUUUAAAUGCGUUGUUUAACAUAACAAGUUUCGUUAGUAUAUUUUAUAUAAUUUAUGUAAUUAUAAAUUUAUUAAAGUGAAUCCGAAGAGUCAUUAAAUUAUUUAAAUCAAACAAAUUGGAAGAUUAGAAUCAGAAUCAAAAUUUGGGGAGGUUGGAUAUAGUCGAAUCAAAAUAGUCUACAGUUCCAAGUAAAUUUUAUACUUUUUUUUAAUAUUUAAAAAUGGAAUACGUAAAAAGUAAUGAUGUGGCUUAUUUCUUGAGCUAUUUUUAGGAGAUUUCGGAUAGUAAUUUGAAAAAAACUUUAUGUAUAAUAUUUUGAAUUAAAUAGAAAGAAAUCCAAAUUAUUGUGUUUUCUAAUUUCCCUUGAGAAGAAGCUUUUCCUGUAUAGUACUCUUAUCGAUCCCCUUGGUGGAUUCAUAGGGAGAGAAGAGUAUUGCUUGACCGUCAUGCAUGUUGAUUGAUUCUACACCACAUGGUGGCGAGUUUGCUCGUGUCCAACAUUGUGGAUCUAUGGAGGGCCAAGUGCUUAUUCCCCUAUGCUUGUGCUACCUCUGCAGUCCCUCCUCGGCUUCGGGCCGGCAUCACCUCACACUUGGAUUCAAGACUAUUUAAUAGACCUACACCAUAAUGUAGGUGAAUAGGAGUGUCAAAAAAGUUUGCAGGUUACAAGCCAGCUCGAGCUUGGCUCGAGUUUGGCUUAAAUCAAAAACUCAGCUCCAAAACUUCAAAAUGAUUGGUUGUAUACAUGAAUUAUUUAUGAUAAUAGUGUACAGCACAAUAUUAUUAUCUGUUCUCGUCUGGUGAUAUUGUAUACUUUGAGUUAUAAAAUGUUAGGGGUUCAUAUUCCUCCACGGUUUGAAUUUGAUCAUUAGAUCGAAUUAACUGUUUAUAUUUAAAACUAAAUAUGCUAAAAGGUGAUGUAUUAUUAAAAUUUUAUAUUCAAAAGAAAUUACGUAAGUAUAAGCUAGCCAGUAGUAAAUUCAAUAUAUAUUUAGAAGUCGAAAGAAACAAAAGUUCUUAAGUUGCAAGCAAAUUGUUCAUUAAUAUUUUAUAUUCAUCAAAAGGCAAUUACAUGAGGAGUAUAGAUAAGCCAGCACGCAGUAAUUAAGUAUCAAAAAAGUUGAAAGAAACAAAAGUGCUCCAUCUACUUACUGUUGCAUGUAAUAUUGUUUUAGAGGAAGAAAAGGAAAGUGUUAAUUGCACAAUUCUGAUUACUGAGAGAUAACUUGUACAGUACAGGAGGGACAAGAUCUCUAUUCUACUGCAAGAUCUCCACUGUGCACUUUACUUAUCCUUAGAAGGAAACAAGUGACUGGAUCUGAGAUAUCAGCUUAUUCAAUUGUAAGGUUGCAAGGGAUCGACAUGGAACGUGGUCUGCUAGCCCUAGUUUUAUUCUUAAAGAUUUGUUUUUAGUUUCUGAAAACGAAAUAACGUAUGAUGUUUAAUCUACCAAGAUUAGAAGACUAUCAAGUUAACAAAGUUUUCUAAUAUAAGUCAAAUGUGUAAGUAUGUAUCCGCAUUGUGUUAAUUGCAUUGGUAGCUUAUAAAUUUUUAUUAAAUGACCCUAGUGGCCUGUAAACUCCAACAAAUAUACCAAAUUUAUUCAUUUUAUCAUUUUAUGUCGAUUUUAUUCAUGAAAUAAUAAUCUGAAUACCAGAUAAUAAGCGACCUUACCAUUUAGCUCCUCAAAGCAAAGCUUCUUUUAAUGCCAAAUAUCCUUUUUAAUUAAUGGAAAAUAAAAAAUUUAAUGGAAAGUACUUUUUUUUUUUUCAAUAUCCAUACAUCAUCUUACUAUCAAUGAACUUGAUUAAUUAAUAUCAUAAAAAGGAAUGGGUCAAUUUAACAUAUUAUUAAAAGUUUAGUGAAGCAUUAACCUUACACAUAUUCUUCAAGUUAAUUUACUAGAUCUAGGAUAAUUUAAUUACUCUCUUCAUACAUCUACCUAUUAAUGGGUGGGACCAAAUAAAUGGAUAGAACUAAUAAGUAUUCCACAUGGCAAUGAACACAGUCGUGUUCCAUUUCAUGGUUCACUCGCAUAGAUUGUGGGGACAACUUUUGACGAUAUUUUUCGGCUUCGAAAGAUACAUGCAAAUAGUUUUUUGGAUUGUAUAGCACUUGCAAACUUAUAGUAAUUAACUAAUAAAGGCAAAUGUCAAGAGGUAUACCACCAUCGGUACUAACGAGUUAGAUUUGUUCGCUGUGUUCAUUUUCUCCAUGCUAUAUAUGGAACAACUUAAUUCGUUACUUCUUAGCAACUUUGUUCGUCUAAAAAGGAACAAAGAAAUGUUCCAAGCUCAGGAGAGUUGUUAGAAUAUGGUGGAAACUUGUUGUUUCUAAUUAGUAAGUGUGGGAAAUAAUAGCCACAUGACAAACUGGAUGUAUAAACAAGUUCGCUCCUCGACCUAGCUAAUGGAAUUUCACAUACAAGAAUUUUGAAUAAUACUAAAUAAUUAUAUAUCUUUAAAAUAACAAAUCGUUCAAACUCUUGACAUCGACAUCUAAGUUUGAUUUGUUUUGAGAGAUAGGCUAUCUCUAGAACUAAGAAUAUUGAUCACUUUUCAUUCUUGCAAGCUUGACCCUGUUCAUGCACCAAAAUGUUUAUUUGGAAGGUUAACAUGGCCGUUAAAUAAUCACACUAGCUUUUUGUCAAAUCUUUUUUGAUUGGAAAAUAAUGUAAAUUACUUUUCUUAAUUUCCACCGUUUCAAUCAUCAACCUAGCUAAUAGUUACAGUAACUACACCAAGAACAUUGAAAGGAAAGAAAUUACAACUGAUCAAAAGUUCCAAUCAAAAUUUGAAAAAUACAAGAAUAGGAAAACUCAAUACCAAUUCUAAACUCAAGGGUACAAGUCCAUGAUACAUAAUCACAAUAUAAUAAAGAUAAUUAUAACUGAAAAGUAAAUCCUAUACUAGCAACUAAUAUCCAAAGCAUAAACUAUCUAGGCAUUAAUUAACCGUGUCCUCACGCAGUGUCUCAAUUAAUCCUCACCCCCAGCAAUAUCUAACAAAACAGAGGGAGUAAGAAACAUAUAAAUAUAUUUUUUAGUAGGUACAACCAGCGGCUGAAGACAAGCCGCACUUAGUGGUCAAUAAAAGAGCACGAUAAAGGAAUAACAGAUAUAAGGAUAACCGAUUACUGUCGCAUAAAGAUAAGCAUGUAAAGAUUAUGAAAGAAAGUAGGGAAAACUUCAAAUACCACUCUUGUGGUUUUGCGCUUUCUUACUUUUGUACCUUGUGGUUUAAAAUGUAUUACUUUCGUACCAUGUGGUUUUAUUUUUUUCGUUCUGUUAUUCCCUCUGUUAAUUUUUUCAUUAAAUCGGUAACUGUUGGCGCCACAAAAAUGGUGCCACGUGAAAAAAACAAGCAGAACCACGUGGCCAAAACACAAGGACCACAUACAAAGCCACACGUGGCACACCUGGAGUUGAGAGAAGCAUGCCUAAAACGAGAAAGCGGUUUUAGGCGAAACCAAAGACAUGGGGAGAAACGGUCAAGGCACAAUUUGAGGAAACAGUGACAUGGACGAAAAUAUAUCCCCACGAUAAGAUUAGCUAAAUAACAAUAAACAGAAUUAUAAAUAAAUAAAAAUCGCCUAAACAAACGGUCUUUUCCGCGUACAAGCGACCACCGCAAUUUCAAUUCCUUUGUUUUCCGCUCUUAUCGCUUUUGUAGGAGUAGUCUAGUAAAGUAGAUUUUCUUGUUAGCUACAAUAAGUUUUAUUAUUUUUCCUGUAAUUAGGGCUUAGUAAGUUAGUGGUAGGACUUAUCUUCCUGCAUAUCCCAAUUCUUUUGAAAUAUAUUGAAGUCACUUGGCUCAUUCAACCAAGUUAGUAAUAUAUCAAGUGCUCGGGCUCGGCUAAGCGGAUUCCUCAUCAGCCAAUCACUUGAUUCUAUCUAGGGCACAUUCGAGGGUCAUCAUCAGGAGCCCACCCCUCUCCCGACUCACUUUCCGAAGGAGAGUUUUGACCAAGUCAACGGUCUAGAACUUCGGCUUAUAGUAAUUUUUGGUACCCCUAGUAGGACACACUCUGGUAAAUUCCAAUCUACUCUUUAUCUCAUGGCUGACAAUAGCGCGAUGAACCUCCAAAACAAAGUUAUUCCCAAACCUUCAGGAAAUGAUCAAGUUAGUCCGAAAAUGCAAAUGAGCAUUAGGCUGUGUUACUGGCUAAGGGUGAGAAUAGUGAACACUCGGCUCAGCAGGAGCCGAAUCUAACUCAGGCACUCAGCCAAAUGACUCGUCCUACAUUCUUUAGAUCAUAAUAACUAUCAAAGUACCGCUCGACUGGACAUGGUGCUAGCCGCUAUCAUGGCCUCCAACGAAAACAUUGCUCGAACCUGACAACUACUAGCCCGAAAUGAGCAAAUUUACAGAGGUCCAUAAGGACCCCUAACUGCGUCGGCACCAUAAAAUCCUAUUGUGCUAGUAGUCACACGAGCACAACCGCAAAUGGCGCCUUUCCAGGCUGCUUAUAGACCGACAAAUAUAAACGCCAGUCCGCAGCUAGAGAUCGCGUAGGGUUUACCUCCCCCACCCUCCUUUGCCAGUCUAUCAGCCCCAAAAUAGGGGUGUGAGGGCUGGGGAGUAAGGCCCCGCUAGGGGGCAGGGCCGCAACGUAUUGCAGGGACUCAACCCUACAAUACAAAACUACGGACCUCCUCCAUGGCCGAAUGUGGCUCCGACCCCGGUUCCUGCCCUAGCAGUAGGGAACAAUGAGCUCUAUGCUCAGAUAGAGAAGGCUAUUUGAAACACAUUUGGUGUAGGGGUAAGGCCUGCAAUGCAGUCCGUAUUUUGAUCCCUAUAUCACGCAAAUGUUGAUAUAGAACAUCCAUAUACGACAAACUGAAAAAUGUCAAAGUUUGACAAGUUCUCGGGCGAUGAGACCGAGAUUACUGUGGAACAUGUCACUCAAUUUACUACCCAGUAUAGAGAAGCGGCCGCUAAUCCAUUCUUUAAAUCGAUUAUUUAACAUAUCAUUAACUAAAAAUGGUGUUCACCCAGUAUACGAGUUUACAUGCUAAUUUUGUCCGAGAGUGGGACGAAUUGGAUAGAAAGUUUUAUGAGCAGUUCUACAGGCCAGAACCAAAAUUUUCAGUGGCCAAGUUGGCCCCAUAUCGACAAAAGUCGAGGAAAAUAGUUGAGGAAUAUUUGAAUUAUUUCAAAACAACCAGGAGUCAGUGUUUUGUAAGAAUGCCAAAAUUAGAAUUCACCAAAAUGACAUUUAAUGGUCAACAUUUCAAGAUAAAAGACCGUUUCGUAUAUAAAUAUUUUUUGAAUUUGUUCAAUUUGGGCGUUUGGGUUAUCCAAUGUGAAUAAUUCAGGAAAGAAAAUAGUGAGGAUUGGCCACAUUGGAGCUGAAACAAGGAAUGGAAUAAAAGAAAAGAGAAGAAUAUCUCUUUCAUUAAAGAGAGAUCGACUCAAGACGAGCCGAAUACGUCUAGCGAGACAGAAGACUCGGCUGACGAGACUGAGGUAUUUGCAGUUGAAAUAGUGAAAAACCGUCAGCUAUAUAAAUGUGAACUCCUUAGGCCAACAAAGGCUAGCGAAACAAUAGCACGAAUGGCGGCAUAUACCUCUUCGUUCGACGUUGCCAAGACCGAUCAAAUAUUCGAUCAGUUAUAUAAGGAUGGAAGGAUAAAACUCCAAGAAGGUCAAACGUUACCUUCAGAAAAGAAACUAAAGAAAAGAAAAUAGUGCAAAUGGCACCACUUGAGGAGCCAUAGAACUAAUGAUUACACAGCCUUUAAAAGACAAAUUCAAAAAGAUUUGAAUGAGGAUCGACUGUUGUUUGCCGACCAAGAAAAUAAAACUAAUAUGGAAGUUGACCAAAACCCAUUUUCCUCGCAGGUCAACAUGGUGGAUAUAAAGAAAAAGAAGCCCAUAUAGAGGAUAAAUUCUAGAAAGAUGUGACAAUGACGCGAAGACUGCUACGGUUUUGCAUUAGAUGCAAAGCCGAGAUGACGCGUCAAGACUGGAAAGCCAUCAUACGUAAGAAAAAGGCGUACGGUGAAUGGAACAAGUUCAUGGCUUUCCCCAAAGACUUGGAGGUACUCGAUGCAGUUAGCCCAUAGUGAUGAAUGCUCAGAGGCUUCCAACGACUCUGAGGAAGAAGUGAACUCUGCCAAAGACGCAAAGGACCUACCAAUUCAAAAGAUCUUAGACGAGUAUUACCAAACCUGAGAGAAGAUGAGCCGAGGGGACUACCCGAGACAACCCUUCGACACUCAACAGAGGCACCUGGGAUAUCGACUCUUAUGGCACCAGCAGCCAAGGCAGAGACUCAAAUUAAAAUCUGUAGGAAUGAUCGAUAGGGAUAUUCAAUUUCUCGGUCGGAGAUUAGUGAAUGAGCUCAACAUCCAGCCAUGGCUGAGACCUUGGGAAAGAUGAGAGAUCUUAAAAGACACCUCAAGAUUGUAAAUGUACCAGCAAACAUGCCAACCAAACAAUGGUUCACAGCAAGAGCGUCGGCCAUAUGGCAUGGGCCGAUGCUAAUGAAGAAGCAAAAGCAGCGAUAACAACAAAGAAUGUAAGCCGAAGGGAGAACUCACUGGAAAGAAGUAAAAAGGAUAAGGCCAAACACUUUGAGACGACCUGUGUAGAAGCUACCCUAUCAGCCCAUGAAGCAUGAUAGUGAAGCGGGCGGUUCAAACCCAGUGCCAUGGUUGAAAUCUAAAGUAGAGCACUCAGCCAGAAUAGAGCCGACAAAGAAGGUCACUCGCAAAGAACUAAAAGAGAAGAUUGCUUUUCUUAAGACCAUCAUUAAGCGAGAGCAAUGGCUACCUAAGGAGAGAGAUUCGGUCGGAGAGUGAUUCUGCAGCCGAAAUAGCAAAAGAAUCUGAAGAGAAAAAAACAGAAGACACAAGAAGCUGUAGCCGAAGGGAAUUCUGCUGAUGUUAGCAUAGUGUACGAUCUACCGCACUCAUUCAAAUCAGAGUCAGUGGAAGCUGAGGAGCAGCCUCAAUAUGGAGAGGAGGUGGUGGUGGCCCAACUCUAGCUUGAAGACUUGAAAGCAGCUGAUGUGGUGGUGUACGAAAACCCAUCGACCCUGCAGACUAGAUUCGUCAGGCCUUUAUACAUCAGAGCAUUGAUAGAGGGACGGCCUGUGGGCCGAGUAAUGAUCGACGAUGAGGUAAUAGUGAAUGUUAUGCCUACAUCAUUUUUCAAGAAACUAGGUAAGAGCAAAGAUGAACUCAAACCCCUUGACAUGACUAUGACCGACUUCAUAGAAAGCGGUCAGCAAGCACCGAGGGUACUGACGACUGAGUUGACGGUUGAAUCCAAGACACCCUUUGGACCGCCUUCUUUGUAGUGAACCGCAGUAGCCACUACAAUUUGCUACUAGGGCGUGAUUGGAUCCACAUCAACGAAUGCGUACCUUCGACCCUGUAUGAAAAGUUGUUUUAGUGGGUCGGGGAACUUGUCGAAGAAAUCACGACUGAAAGGAGGCCGCAGAAGGUAAACAUGAAUGUAGAAGACAUCAGCUAUAUAAAUUGGGCUGCCACGGACCCGGACCAGAUCUCAUUCAUCUGAAUCACUGAAGAAGAAGUGCAACUGGUACUCCUGAAGGAGGCAGAGGCACUGGCGGCUAUAGAGAAGUCGCCGGUUUGGUUAAAAUGAAACAUUAUGAGUCAAGAGACGAGGCUCUAAACGGGCUUUGGCAUGGCAUGUCGAUCGAAGGAAUCGACCAUUUCGAGGGAUCGGCCGUAGCAGUCGAUGGAAAAUCAAAUGCUAAUUGUGCGGCUCAAGAGGCCAGUUGUAAGAAAAAACAGUCUUUGUCAUUCCGUAACUGGGCUAUGGAUCUGAUUGAAGAAACCCCACCCUAUACUGAGGCAUAAUGGGGUGGGGUUAACAAACCCACCCUAUACUGGGGUGGGUUAACAAACCCCACCCGUAACAGUCUUUGUCAUUCCCAAACAGAGGCAUAAUGGGGUGGGGUUAACAAACCCCACCCUAUACUGGGUUAGUGGUCAUGAUGAGGGGUUUGUUAACCCCUCCCCCUCACGCCCUCGAAUUUCAAACUGAGCCCCGCAUCAUUGCCCCUUCACUGUAGCUCUUCUCCUCCAGACCUUCUCCCCGUUCCCCUUCUUCCCCUUUCUCACCCCCGAAUCUACCUUCUCCCCAACCCCAACCACUCCGGCCGAAGCCUGCACUGCCGGACUUGCCUCCUCCCGACGCCCCCUCACCGCUGGAUCUGCCUCCUCCCGACCCCUCUCCACUCCGGCCCGAAACCCUUCCUCGAAGCCCUUUCACCUACGGAUCUGCCUCUCUCCGUCCGACGCCCUUCACCGCCUGCCCGAAGCCCUUCCCCGAAGCCCUCUCACUGCCGGAUCUUCCUCCUCCCGACCCUUCUCCACUCUGGCCAGAAACCCUUCCCCGAAGCCCCUUCGGAUCUGCCUCACUCCGAUCGACGCCCUUCACCGCCGGUCCGAAGCCCUUCCCCGAAGCCCCCUCACCGCUGGAUCUUCCUCCUCCCGACCCUUCUCCACUCCGGCCUGAAACCCGUCCCCGAAGCCCCUUCGGAUCUGCCUCACUCCGGCCAACGCCCUUCACCGCCGGCCCGAAGCCCUUCCCCGAAGCCCCCUCACCGCCGGAUCUUCCUCCUCCCGACCCUUCUCCACUCCAGCCCGAAACCCGUCCCCGAAGCCCCUUCGGAUCUACCUCACUCCGGCCGAUGCCCUUCACCACCGGCCCGAAGCCCUUCCCCGAAGCCCCCUCACCGCCGGAUCUUCCUCCUCCCAACCCUUCUCCACUCCAGCCCGAAACCCGUCCCCUAAGCCCUUUCGGAUCUGCCUCACUCCGGCCGACGCCCUUCACCGCCGGCCCGAAGCCCUUCCCCGAAGCCCCCUCACCGUCGGAUCUUCCUCCUCCCGACCCCUCUCCACUCCGACCGAAGCCCUUCACAUCUGGCCCGAAGCGCUUCUCCGAAGCCCCUCCACCGCCGGAUCUGCCUCCUCCCGACGCCUCUCCACCCUGGCCGAACCUUUACCUCUGGCCCGAAGCCCCCUCACCGAAGCCCGAUCACCUCCGGCCCGAAGCCCCUUCACCUCCGCCCGAAGGCUCUCACCGCCGGCCGAACCCCUCUACCCCCAGGCUUCUCCUCCGCCCGAAACCCCUUCUUGUCCCUCCGGCCGAAAUUCGUAUUUCUCGUCGCCACGGGUUGGACUGUGUUGUGUCCGCGCGAAGCGAGUUAUCUUGUUGGUCACCAGUUGUAAGCUAAUCGGGCAGCAUGUUGUCCCAUUAUUUGCUCUGCUCCUCGUGUUGGCCGAACCCUGUGUUUGGGGCUUGAUUGGCCGAGGUUGGCCGAGGUUCUGAAAGCUUGCUCGGUGCUUCUUCAUUGUUGGUUGUGUCCGCUGCGCGACGUCUGUGUGCUAUAAUCAGGUUUGAUUUCAUGUUUUACCAACCAAAAAUAUGAAUGCCAUCAUACAUAUUAAUACAUUUACAUGACGGCGUCGCAAAUGCCGAUACUCAUCAGUAGAUCGGAACUAAUGAAAUUGUAUGCUUUCGGUUGAGAGGGCGUUAUGUUAUAAGAUCUUCUGUUGCAUUUUCAAUAAAUGCCUGAUCUGUUGCCCCGGCUAGUGUAAAUUUUUCGUAUUUGAAAUCACCGUGUUAUUGUUCCUCUCGGAUGUCAUGAUGAAGAAUUGUACGAUAACUCAGCUAGAAAAAUAUUGGUUAAAUACUUGUUGUUCGGCGAUGAUGACGGUUUCCAAUUAACAUCAGAAGGAUGGCAUCAAUGGAAACAUCGAUGCAACCCUAUGUUAGUUGGAAUCCACUUGAGCCAAUUGUGGGAACGAACCAUCAAGACCAUAUUUCGCGGACCAUGCAUUUUUACAUAGGAUACAAAUAUUGCAUGAAACAUUAACUCUAUCCAUAUUUUUAUCAUAUCAUUCAAUCCUUUAUUAUAUAUAGUCUACUUGGUAGUAGAAAAUAACAAUUGCAUCAGUAUAUUGUGUAUGCAAUGCUUAUACAUCAUGUUACUAACCCCGCCAAUUUAAAUAGCAUGUAAUAUCGUAUAUACGUUCUAUGCAUCCAUCAUGCACUAUUUUUAAUUAUAAACUACAGAUGAGUCCAUUCAAGAAAGUUUCUAAGUCCAAACAGAAGCAACAUGGGUUCGCAGAUGAGUCACCUAUUGAGCCUAGCGGUGGCAUUCGUAUUGAUACAAGAACUAGAAGUCAAAAUUGGAGCAACAUUUUGGAUGCACAAUUAUUGGGACUUAUGAGAGAUGAACAUACAUUUGGUAAUUACGUAAAUGGGUCAUUCACUCCGAUUGCGUGGAAGCAGAUGGUAAAUGAUUUCAACAGUCGAAACAAUAUGAACCUAACAAAGACACAAUUGAAUAAUCGAUUUAAAGUGUUAAAAAAAGUUUUCAAUUUGUACCAUUCUCUUGCCAACAAGAGCGGGUGGGGAUGGAACUCUGACUUGCACAUUCCCACACCUGGUGACGCAAGAAUCUAGGAUUCUGUAAUAGCGGUAAUUACAAUUUCUUUUAUAAUAGCAUUAUUGUCUUAGUAAGAUAUGUACAUUAUAUGAUAGUAUUAAAUUAUUAAUAUUAUUACUUCAGGAGAAUCCGGCGUACGCCAGGUGUAGGGAUAAGCCCUUUCCCGCCUACGAUGAUAUGGAAUUUCUUAUCCAAAAUACAACUGCGACAGGAAGAUAUGCAUUUACAAGUGCUGUGGAGCUUCCCCCUAUAAUUGAAAGCUCCUCUGGGUCAUCCACUGGUGAGGAUGAUACUAUUGCCGGCAUUGGAAUGUCAGCUUGUAAUCUCUCAUCAGACCCAUUCGAAGCAGGGGGGUCUGGGUGCGCCAGAAAUGCUAACUUUGAUGAAGCAAAUACGUCACGCUCCCCAAGCCCUCCCGUGAUGCCUACAACUGGUGCAAGUGGUUCUGGUCAUAGCUCUGGUAGUAAAAGAGCUCGUUCUCCAGAGCGUAGCAAUAAGCAAGCACAAACGGCAUCUACAUCUGGGGGACGAAAAAAGAAAGUAGCUGUCCGGACUUCUGCUUACCUUGACAUCGCGUAGCAGGGUAAGGAAAAGCUUAGUUGGGUGCGGCAACUAUGUCAGCUAGAGCUGAGCAAGAGCACUGAUAUGCCAUCGCAGAACCAAUGCAUGCAACGAGUGUAUGGAAUGACCGGAUUAAGUGAUGAUGAUAUCUUAGUUCUCUGUGAUGCGUUUAAGGAAGAUAAGAAUCGCAAUACUUUCAUGUCAUUGAAUGACAAGCAUGCAAGAGAAUGGGUUGAGCGAGAAAUUGCGCAACAAAAUCUAUACUAUAGGCCGCCAUUUUCCGGGACUUAGACAAAUGGCGUAUUGGUAGUUCUUCUUUAUCAUAUCUCGACCUAUAUUGCGUGUGGACGUACAUAUUUUAUAGCUUGUGGUGGUAUUGGUAAUUCUUCUUUAUCUGAGCUUUGCAUAGUUUCUACCUUGUAGUGGUGACUCUUGAUUGUAUGACGCUUUGAUUUAUGUUUCCUUUACUCUUAUUAGCUUUGCAUAUUUUUCUACUGUUGGAAGAUUAUGAUAUGUUUGCGCCAUAUAUAUUACCUCUUGCUAUAGUUAUAUGUUCGUGUGUAUUUAUUUAUUUUUGUUAUUUAUUAUUAAGUGCCGAUUUAAUCGCCAUUUACAACAGUUGCAAUUAGAAAGACAUUAAUGGUGAACCCACUAUACAAAAGAAUUUUUUCUUCAGCGACCAUAUCCACCAUUAUGACAAUAUUAGAUGACGAUGAUGAAUCUAUCGAGACUAUGAUGCUACUUGAGUUAGAAUCUGAACUAGUUGCAAAUAGAAUACCCAGACAAAGGUGUCGGACUCGGCCGUUUACCGGACAUCAAAUAUUGUGUGAUAUUUUAUCUAGUCAUCAUGAACGUUGCCGCCAUCACUUUCGUAUGAGUGUAACUACAUUUAUUGCACUCCGCGAUACUUUAGUCGAGAGGGGGUUAAUAAAUAGCACAAGAAAUAUUACUGCUAAUGAGCAGUUAGCUAGGCAUAUUUCUAUAUGGCGUAGGGCAUGGCGUAGCAAACCGAAUAUUGGCAGAAACAUUCCAACAUGCUGGAGAAACCAUCAGUAGGCAUUUUAACAAUGUACUACGCGGCAUUGUGAGGCUAAAAGAUGACUACAUAAUGUUGCCGUCAAGUAAUGCUGCCGUGCAUCCAAGAAUUCGGGAUAAUCCAAAUUUUCAUCCUUUCAAGGUAACCAUACACACGGUUAUAAGUUGCGUCUUUUAUAGUAGUGUUAUAUAUAGUAAUUAUGUAUAAGGUAUUGUCCGAUUCGUUCAUAAUGUUUCGUAUAGGUAGAGUAUGUAGUAGUAGAAUGUUAACAGUUUAUUGUUAUAUUGGUGAUGUGAGUUAAGAUGGUUUAUAGUUAUAUUAAUAGAUUAAAUAUAUUUGAAUAUAAGAUCACAAGGUGUUAACUAAACAUUAUAAUCGUGCAUCUAGGAGUGGUAAAACCCUCAGGAGUUAAUGAGGGUGAUUUAGCCGGUGAUAUGGAAGUAAAAGUCGCAGGACAAGUAGACGUGGGAGUAGUCUUUUUUACAAUAGUAAACGAACCACUGCUGCUUACUUCAAUACAUAAUAUGUUGUACGAUAUCGUUAAUUCGUAACUUGAAAUAUGCUUUUGCCACAACGAUGUAAAUCUUAAAACUUUGCGAAGAAGUUUUACGGUUUACAGGAGAGUUGGUGUAAAGAAUUAACUCGUACGGCCACCAAUGUGUUUAGAGCACCUAAAGCUACUUGCGCCCGGGCACACGAACGUAGUUUGACUGAUUAUACCAUUGCGAGAGGAGAUAUCCCACGUUCUUUAAAAAGUCAUAAACAUAUAGGGCUCAGUUGAUUCAUUAUGAACGGACGUUUAUUAUAUUAUUGGUAUACAGUAAUCAUAUUUUUUAAAUAGAUGUUAUCACAAGUAUAUAUAAAUUUAGAUUGUUUUUUAAAUAAUCGUUGUGAUGGAAGCCCUUGUUGUUUUGGUGGACAAAGUGUACGGGUAACUUCAUGAGAGUAUAGCCGUCGUCUCGGAAGGGUAGGACACGUAUGUUUAUUUUUUAAUUCUAGUUUACUGUGGCGUCGGUAGUAUAAAACACUACACUUGGGAAAAGCUGUAGCUUUACCCCAAACAAAUGAGGAAAGCUGGUGAUGACCUUAUACACAAGGCAGCUAGCGUGGUUAUCGUAAGAUGUCAAAUGUUUUCUUUUCUAUUUUUAUAAUCAUUAUUUAAAAUAAAUAUGUGGUUACAUAAUAUGCAUAUGNUGUUAUGGAAUAUGUAUUAAUGAUAUAUAUUGUGAUGAUAUUUUCUGCGUUGAAUAUUGGAAGGUAGAUAUGUUGGUAGAUAUUCUAAUUUUUUUACUCUGUUAUAUAUUUGUACUCUUUCAAAAUAUUUUGGUUGUAUAUUUUUUUAUUUUUGAUUCAAUAUGUUGUUAUCUUUGUAAAUAUUCGUUGAUGUGCAGAUUGACUUGAUGUACAUAAAUAUUUCUGAAUUAUUACUGAUAUUCGAAUAGCAAUGCAAAGUUUGAAAGAUCGAAAUAAAUCGGAUUUGAAAACGCCUAACGAUACUCAACUCCACUAGGGGCUAAAUUUGAAAGGUUGGAAAUUAAUAUUUUUGGAGGGUAAAAUGAUAUUAUAACUAAAAUAUUAAUUGUAGUUUAGGAAAUACUAUUGUUAGUGAAAUUUAUAAAUAUGACAAUUUUAAUAUUGUUGUUUGAAAAUUUGAGGAAUUUUUUAAAAUUACAAAAGAGUAGUGAAAAAUAAUUUUUGGUACACAAUUACGCAAAAAUUUAUAUAAUUUUAAUCCUCAUUAUCCUUCUUUAUCAAUCAUUAUCUUCUUAUCCCACCUACUCCAACCAAUCAUUAUCCUUCUUUAUCCUUCUUUAUCAAUCAUUAUCUUCUUAUCCCACCUACUCCAACCAAUCAUUAUCCUUCUUUAUCAAUCAUUAUCUUCUUAUCCCACCUACUCCAACCAAACACUAUUUUUCAUUAUUCUAGACUAACUCCAACCCCCAACCAAACACAAAAAAACUUUAACCCCACUUUAACCCUGAACUUAACCCUAUCCCUGGAAUAGCUACUUUUUCCUUAACCCCAAACCAAACAGAGGCAUAGAGUUUGACUGGGCUACUAUCGGCAGUAAACUGCUCGGUUUACUAUCGAUUUGUUUUUGAUGAUAGAGCUUCCAAAUCGACGAUCGGCACCAUUGAACAUGAUCUAGACCAUUUAAAUUACCUAGAAAUCAAAUUUCAUGAUUUUUUGGCACCACUAACUGAAUAAUCAAAGGGUCACAAAAUCUAUAAUUUUAAUGGCCGACAUGGAGCGUUUGCUCGUUUAACGGUAUAGAAGAGUUUAAAUCAACUAAAUUUUUAUUAAAAAAUUCUUUAAACUAUUUAAAAUAAGAUCUAGACUCUAGAUCUCAAAUAUAAAAUUUGUAUUAUCACUUUUUGAAGGAUAUUCAUUUCCAGCCAUUUAUUUUUCUGUUCACUUGAUGGACAAGAGAACAAUAUCGAAAAUGUGUGAAAUUUGAUUUCUAGAUAGUUUAAAUAGUUUAUAUCAUGUUUAACGGUGCCGAUCAUCAAUUUGGAAGCUCUAUUAUCGAAAACAAAUCGGUAGUAAACCAAGCCGUUUACUACCGAUAGUAUACCAGCCUAGCUCUAUAUAUAUAUAUAUCAAUUCGCGUUUUCCGAAGAAAAUGACAGUUCAACACUCUGGGGUCUAUCAAGAUAUAUAUUCUAUAUUAUCCCGAUUUGAGAAUCGAGCCGAAUUUGUAAAACCCACCACCAAUCUGGGUUCUCCAAUUUUCUUAAUUCGCACGAUCCUGCCCUCAUCAGGAUCCUACCCACUGGAAGACUCUUCAACCCCGCAGUGUCAACUAUAGUCUCGGUUAAUGGUCAGCCUUCAUACUCUACUCAGAGCCAACUCGGCCCCAGCCUUACUGUUCCGAUCGCUCUGCUCAGAGUGUAGCGGACGAUGAAUACUCAGACUCAGACUGCUCUUGCAGUACUGCAUUUCUCCCUCUCUAACACUCUAGGGUCUAUCAGGAUAUAUAUUCCAUAUUAUCCCAAUUUGAGAAUUGGGCUGAAUUCGUAAAACCCACCACCAAUCCGGGUUCUCCAAUUCUCUUAAUUCGCACGAUCCUGACCUCAACAGAAUCCUACCCACUGGGAGAUCUUUCAACCCCGCAGUGUGUUCAAAAAUCAAAAACCUAAUUAAGGAAAGUAGUAAAGAUUGGUAGCCUAAUUUAUAAUAUUGGGUGGGUCACCCCUAAUGAGAGGCUCUGAUUAUAGUAGAAUUGAAAUGUUAAAGAAUAGGUUCCCAAUUUUUAAACUAUCGUUUUUCUUGUAAAACGAUAGCUAUCAUAAGAUCGAAUCGAGAGAGAGAUAGAGAGAGAGAGAGAGAGAGAGAGAGAGAGAGAGAGAGAGAGAGAGAGAGAGAGAUAUAUAUAUAUAUAUAUAUAUAUGAGAUAGAAUACUAUUAAUAGUAUUUGGACUAUUUUGCUAUUAAUUUUUUAAUUAUUAAAUCUACACAAUCAAUCACACCCUUUAGAUCAUACUAUUCAACCAACCACCCACUCAAUCAUAGAGAGACCACCAUUAAAUCCCAGGAGACGCUAUCAUUUUAACCUNCACACGAGGACUCUCGUGUGUUCUAGAUGAGCCCUCCGUACUCCUGAGCCGUUUUCGAUGAUAGGACUCCCGAAUCGACGAUCGGCUUCACUAGACUUGAUCUAGCAUAUUUGAAAUAUGUAGAAAAUAAAUUUUACGAUUUUUCGAUAUCGUUUACUUAGUGAUCGAAAAGAUCCAAAAUCAACAAUUUUUAAUCGUUGAUAUAUGCCGUUUCAAGUUUAACGAUGUAGAAGUAUCCAAAUCAGAUAAAAUUCUGAUAGAAAAUUAUUUAUACUAUCUACAACAAGUUCAAUAUCUCUGAUCGAAAAUUUUAGUAAUAUAUCACCACUUUUUAUGAGAUUUUUAUUUUCAACCAUUGAUUUUGAACUCUUUCAAUCACUAAGUAAACGAUAUCGAAAAAUCGCAAAAUUUAUUUUCUACAUACUUCAAAUAUGCUAGAUCAAGUCUAGUGGAGCCGAUCGUCAAUUCAGGAGUCCCAAUAUCGAAAACGGCUCAGGAGCACGAAGGGCUCUGUGCUCCUGAGAGCACAGCAACCUUGCUCUAUAUAGAACUAGGCUGGAAUACUAUUAAUAGCAUCAAGCUAUUGGUGCUAUUAAUUUUUUAGCCCUUAGAUUAAGAAAUGUGCAGUUAGGAUGAUGUGGGUCCUCUAGGGUUGAGUAGGUAGUUAGUUGAAUAGUAUAAUCUAACGGAUAAAAAUAAUUAAAAGGUUAAAUUUAUUGGCGAAAAAUUCGAUAGAACCAAAUCCUUGGUGCUAUCGAUAGUAACACAGCCGGACUAUAUAUAUAUAUAUAUAUAUAUAUAUAUAUAUAUAUAUACAGAGAGAGAGAGAGAGAGAGAGAGAGAGAGAGAGAGUACGUCUCCCGUGCUUUCGAAAGUACGGAGGCCUCCGUGCUUGUAAGUUGUUUUCAAUGAUAGGACAUCCAAUUCGACAAUAAGCUCCGUUAGGCAUAAUCUAUGCUAUUGGAACUAUCUAGAAACCAAAUUUUAUAAUUUUUCGACUUCAUUUACCAAGCGAUCAGGGGGUCUCAAAAAUGACUAUUUUAACGGCCGAUGCGGCACGUUUUUAAGUUCAACUGUGUAGAAGUAUCCAAAUUACAUGAAACUUUAAUAGAAAAUUCUACUUAACAUCAAGAGUAAGAACAAUACUUCCGAUUUGAAAUUUGAGUCCUUUAUCAUUGUUUUUUUAUGAGAUUUUUAUUUUCAACCGUUCAUUUUGAGGCUACUCGUUCACUAGGCAAACGAAAUUAAAAAAUUAUGAAAUUUGGUUUCUAAAUAGUUCUAAUAGCGUAGAUCAUGUCUAACAGAACAGAUCGCCGAAUUGGACGUCCCAUCAUCGAAAACAACUUACAAGCGCGGAGAGCUCCGUACUUUCGAAAGCAUAAGAGCCUAGCGCUAUAUAUAUAUAUAUAUAUAUAUAGAGAGAGAGAGAGAGAGAGAGAGAGAGAGAGAGAGAGAGAGAGAGAGUGAAGAGAGAGAGAGAUAGAGAGAGAGCUAUAGGUAGAAUACUAUGCGUAGCAAAAUGUUCUUUUACGCUAAUCAAAUUUGUUAAACAGGGACCCUUGGUAAGAAUUGUAAAGUUAAGAUGAUAUUAAGUCUCGGAGAGUAAUCCCACUGGGUGGGUUUAAUAUUUAAUCCGAUGGCUAGAAUGAUGAAAGGAAUUAAUUCCAAAACCUAAAAACAGGUUGUGUGACGCCCACACUUUCUUAAUGAGGUCACCCAUCCUAAGACAACUCCAGUCCUAGGCACGCUUAUGCUCUAACCUUGGGCCUACCACCACCCAAAUGCUUAAGGUCGGGUUAAGAGUUUACCCCUAUUAUAACGCUUAUAAUAGGACUAUCUGGGAUCUCAUCAAUCUCUCCCUCUUUACGUAUGACGUUCGGCAGACUCAGACUCAUAAGUAGCAGGGAUGUGAACCGUCUCGCUAGCCUUGUCAUUAUUCGACCCCGGCUAACCGACGACUCUCUCAUAACUUCCGACUGGUAUUGGCUCUGAUAUAACUGUGACGCCCCAACUUUCCAGAAAGGUCACCCAAUCCUAGGACACUCCGUCCUAGCAGCGCUAAUUCUUUUAACCUCUUGGGUCAACCACCACCCAAAAUGUUUAACGGCCGAGCUAAGAGUUUAGGCCCUAUUAAUAUCUUAUAUAUAGAACAUCUGGGGUCUCACAACUGACAGUAAAAGAAGGCCUUCGCUAACUAUAUAUAUAUAUAUAUAUAUAUAUAUAUAUAAUUAUAUUAAAUAUAACUAUAGAGAUCUUGUGUGCUGCUCUCAGGAGCACAGAGAGAGAGAGAGAGAGAGAGAGAGAGAGAGAGAGAGAGAGAGAGAGAGAGAGUUGAGCUAGAAUACUCUCAAAAGCACCAAGAGGGUGGUGCUUUUGAGUUUUUAACUAUUGGAUGGAGAGAUGCGGGGUUGAGAUGUUAGUGGUAAGUGGUGGUAGGUGGAAUAAUGUUUGAUCCAAUGGGUAUUAGUAAUUAAAGAGUAGAUCCAAGGGCUAGAAACUUAGAAGCACCAAGAGAUUGAUACUUCUAAAAAAAUUCUAGCUCAAUUAUAUAUAUAUAUAUAUAUAUAGCAGGAUUGCUGUGCUCUCAGGAGCACAGAGGCCUCCGUGCUCCUAAGCCGUUUUCGAUGAUGGAAUUUUCAAAUCGUCGAUUGACUCCGUUAGACUUGAUCUACCGUAUUUGAAGUUUGUAGAAAAAAUAAUUUUUGCGAAUUUUUGAUAUCAUUUACCUAGCAAUCAGAAGGAUUCAAAAUUAAUAAUUUUUAACGGCUGAAAAUAAAAAUUCUUUAAAAACUGGCGAUAGGGCACUAAAAUUUUCGAUCAAAAAUAUUGAUCUUGUUGUAGAUAGUAUAAAGAAUUUUGUAUUAAAAUUUUAUCUGAUUUGAAUAUUUCUACACCGUUAAACUUGAAAACGGCAGGUAUCAACUAUUAAAAAUUAUUGAUUUUUAACCCUUUCGAUGAUCACUAGGCAAAUGAUAUCGAAAAAUAAUAAAAUUUAUUUUCUAGGUACUCCAAAUACUCUAGAUCAAGUUUAACGGAGCCGAUCGACGAUUCGAAAGUCGCAACAUCGAAAACGAGCUGGAAGCACGGAAGGCUCCGUGCUUUCGAUAGCAUAGUAGCCUCACUCAUUGAAAAUAAUUUGAUAGCACGGAGGUCUUCGUGCUACCAAUAGUAUGCCAGCCUAACUAUAUAUAUACAAAAAAUUAUAAUAAAAAAUUAAUAUUUAAAAAUUAGGUCCAACUGUGAUUCGAAAAUAUUACUGGAUCAAGAAUUACAUGAACCAAUUAAUGACGUCAGCAUAAUACCAUAAAUAUUUAUUUAUUAUUUUUAGACGUGCAGUCUCAGUAACACAUGCAUGUUAAGUUGGUCCUGGCAUCAUUAAUUAGGCUAUCAUGUGGUCAGAGGUGGAAGAACCCACCAAAAAUAAGAAAUUAAUUUGUCAAAGUGCACAUGUAUCCCUGUAAAUUUUAAAAAUUGAGUAUGAGUGCUCAAUAAGAAAAUAAUAACACUUUCAAAUAGAAAAAAAAAUUUAAAAUAUUAUUAUUCGAUAGCUAGCUUAAGAUCUGAAUAUUUAUUUUCAUGAUAAUAUAUUUAAUCUGAAAAUAUGAACCACUGAAUUUAAUAAUAUUUUAAAUUUAAUUAACAAAAACCAUUCAAUUUGAAAAGCCAAAUUAACUCAAAAUCUAAUUAAGGAGGUGCUAGCUUGUGGGAAAAAAUAAAGUUGACAAAGUAGUUUAGCACGAGAUCUUAUAAAAAAAGAAACUUUAAAUAUCCCCCUAUAGUUUAUGGCGCUUUUUUUUUAAGUAUAAUGUGGUCUAAAGUAUAUUAUUUUAGUAUCCUACAGUUUUAUUUUUCUCUUUUCGUCAGCAACUUCGUUAAAAUAUAUAAAUAAAACUUCAGAUACCGUCCUAUAAUUUAUCAAAUAUUUAUUUUAGUAUCUUAUAAUUUACGAAAUUUUUAUUUUAGCAUAAUGUGGUUUUAACUUCAGUUAGUAAAUUCGCGAAUAAUUCAUGAAUUAUUCGUGAAUUUUUGAAAACGCGAAUUAAACUGCCGCAUCAGUAUUUUUCAGAAAAAUUAAAAGAAUAUAUAUAUUUUUUCGUCAAAAAUAAUUAUUCGCGAAUUAUUCGCGAUUCACGAAUGAUUCGCCCCAAAAAAAAAGAGCUGGCGGUUGCGGACUCGCGGAUCGCGGCUUCGCCGAAGUCGUCCUUGUCGUCGUCGUCGUCGUCGUCGUCGUCGUCGUCGUCGUCCUCCGCCGCCCUGGCCGUCGCCGGGAGCAAGACGGCCGCGGCAGCAGAUCACGUCUCGCCCGAGGGCGUCACCUCGUGGACAAAUUCGUCUUCGUUUUCCGCUCCAUUCAAACGGAAAAAGAAAAGCAACAGGAAAAAUGGCGGGGUUCAUGCUGCAGGAUUCAUGCCAUUAUGCACGCGGUCCAUGAGGUGGGCUUCACCUCGUGGACCGCCUGAGAGAGAGGUCCACUGGACCUCUCUCUCUUUGGAUAUAUAUAUAUAUAUAUAUAUAUAUAUAUAUAUAUAUAUUAUUUUUUAUAUAAAUACAUUAUUAUAUAAUAUUUAUUAUAUAAUAUAUUUUAGAUAUAUUUUAUUUAUAAAUAUAAAUUAUAUUAACUAAAUAUAUUAUGUGAACUUUCUAUAUUUUAUAUUUAAAUAUAGAGCAUCUUAAUCUCUUAUUGCUUAAUUAUUUAUUUAUUUAUUUUGAGACAUAAUAUAGUUUGCUAUCUUUUUACUUAAUUAGCUUAAUUUUGUAACUCUUUAUUUUUAUAUUUUUUAAAAUAUCAGUAUCUAUGAUAGUAGCAUAAAUCUUGAGAAAAAAUUUUUUAAUUUAAUAGCUCAAUUUUUUAUUCCGAAUUUUUAAUUGGUGAACGUAUAAUAUCCGUAUAAAUUACGUAUCCGAAUAAUUACCGAAUCCGUUUUUUAGCUGUAUUUUUCAACGAAUUUAAAAAUUAGAAGACGAAUUUUAUCCGAAUUAUAUCCGUACCGAAUUUUUGCCGUAUCGGAAUUAACUAACUAUCGUUUUAACUUUCUCAGUGAUUUAACAAAAAAAUUAAUAGAGAACAUAACGGGAAGAAAAACAAAUAAAAUUAUAGAAUACUAAAGUGAUAAAAUUUAGUCUAUAGAGUAUUAAAGUGAAAAAGUAUUGAACUAAAGGAUUAGUAUUUGAAGUUAAAUCACUGAAAAAAAAAAAAAAAAAAAAAAAAAAAAAAAAAAAAAAAUCUAGUGCGUUGAGCCCCAUCUUUAACCCCACGGUGCUCUAAGCCCCAUUGCUUUACCCAAAGCUAAUUAUGGAUCAAAGCAUAUUAAUUAGUAGGACAAAGUCAUUAGUUAAAUAAUAAUAUAAAUAAAUAAACUAAUAUGUGGAGAGACAAAUGAAAACAGGUUCAGGGUACAGCACACCUGCAUCAAAAGACGGGAAAAAUAACGACCCCAAAAAAAAUAAAAAAGAAAAAGUUGGUCACGUGAUUGGCGGUGGGUAGGAAAAAAUUUUAGAAUGCAACGGAUAUGUUAGUGACGUAGCGUAACAAAUUAAUCAAAUUAAUCCUUUUAAAAAUAUAUGUUCCAUCAUGAUUAUAAAAAAAUAUUUUUAUUGUACUUUUGUUUGAAAAGAAUGAAUGUGAUUGACUUGUUAUUGAUGACGUGCUGCAAGUGUGACAGUAUAGAAUUCCUCGUGGAUAGGAGUGUUUACGUACGCGCAUUUCAAACAAGUACAAAAAAAAAAAACCACAAAUUUUAAAAUGCGCCCCUUAUAGUACCAAUGUGGCUUCUCUAACUAAUAAAAUUAUUUUUAUUAAAUUCAUCGGUUAUAUUAUUCUUAAUAAAAAUAUUUUUUUAUUAUAAUUUUUAAAAAAUUAUAAUUAAUUUAUUAUUGAUGAUGUGUUGGAAAUGUAAUACUGUAACACCAUCACACUUGCACCACGUCAUUAAUAACAAGCUAAUUAUAUUUCUUCUUUUCAAACAAAAGUAUAAUAAUAAAUAUUUUUUUUAUAAUCACGAUAAAACAUAUAUUUUUAAAAUGAAAUAUUUAAUUAAUUUGUUAUGCCAAUCACUAAUAUUUCCAUUGCAUUCUAAAAUUUUUCGUCCGGGAGAGGCGCGCUCUGAGCGGCGCGCCUCACGGCGCUGAACGGGGGCUCAGAUGGAUGGAUCUCGUGCAUGUGAGCGUUGGGAAUGGUAAUACUAGUCUACUUUUGGAAUUUGACUAAUUACGAGGUGGGUGCGUUCAUGCAUGGGAGAGGACAAAAAAAUUAAUAGAAAAAAUUUUGAAUAUCAUAUCUGUAAUUUUGUGUUUUCUUAUUUUAACAUCUUGUAUUUUAAAAUAUAUUAUUUUAAUGUUUAGUAGUUUUAUUUUUUCUUUUCCUCAGUACCUCCUUUACCUCUUCGCUAAAUCAUACUGAAAAAAAAAAAAACUUCAAAUACUAUCUAAAUUUAUCGAAUAUUCGCUUUACUGAAAGCAACCUUCUUUACCGAAUUUUUUACUUUACUAUUUUAUUUUUUAACUUGUUCAUUGGUUUAACGGAAAAAUACACGGAGGGGAUAAUGAAAUGAAAAAAAACAAAAUAAUAGAGUACUAAAAUAAUGCAUUUUAAAAUACAUGCUAUUUCAUGGUACUAAAGUAAAAAAGCGUGAAAUUAUAAAAAAAAUAUUUAAUGUUUUUUCAAAACUAUAUGGACAUAGCCUCCAAAUUACAUAGUUUGGGAACGAUACGGAUAUAUAAGCGCCCUUUGGCGAAGCGGCGCCCAUCGAUCCACCUAGUAACAUGCUGGACUAAAAUGAUGGAGAGGUCCCUCAACCAUAGUUAGUUAAUUCGGAUUCGGCAAAAAUUCGGUACGGAUAUAAUUCGGAUAAAAUUCGUUUUUAAAUUUUUAAAUUCGUUGAAAAAUACGGCUAAAAAACGGGUUCGGUAAUUAUUCGGAUAUGUAAUUUAUACGGAUAUAAUACGUUCACCAAUUAAAAAUUCGGGAUCAAAAAUUCGGCUAUAUAAUAAGUAUAUAAAUAUUAAUUUACUAUAUAUAUUAUUAUUAUAAUUUUUAUAUAUAGAUUAAAUAUAUUCCUAUAUUAAUAAUAAACAUAUAUUAAUAAUACAUAAAAUUUAUAUAUUUAAAAAUAGUAAUAAAUAAUUAUAAAUUUAUAAAUAAAAUAUUAUAUAAAUAUUUAUAUAUAAAAAUAAAAUAAUAUAUAUAAUAAAUGAAUANGUAUAUAUAUAUAUAUAUAUGAGAGGGAGGUCCACUGUGGACCUCCCCCUCAUGCGGUCCACGAGGCUGAAAUAGCCUCGUGGACCGCGCAUCUCCAUGCUCCCAAAAAGCCCCGUAAAAAUUACUGUUCAACUUCAACUUUCCCAAAACGGCAUCCGGCGAGGAGAUGGGAUCCGCUGCCGCGGCCUUGCUCCCGGCGCCGGCGAGACCGGCGGAGGACGACGACGAUGCGAGCGGCGACAACGCGAGCGGCCACGAGAGCAGCGACGACACGAGCGGAGAGCCGGCGACGACGCGACCCUCGGCCGCGAGUCCGCGACCGCGAUCGCCGAUUUUUUGGGCGAAUUAUUCGCGAAUCGCGAAUAAUUCGCGAAUAAUGAUUUUUGAGGAAGAAAUCGCGUUUUUUUCCGAUUUUUUGGGAAAAAUACGGAAAUCUCCGUUUAAUUCGUAUGUAAAAAAAUCGCCGUUUAAUUCGCGUAUUAAACGCGAAUUAACUAACUAUGCCCUCAACUAUAAUAUAGCACUCUUUCUGAAAUGUACUUUUUAGUGUUUUUAAUUUCUUUAGUUUUUAUUUUUUACUUUAAUUUUUUUUUAAAUCCAAAAUAAUUGAUACAGUUCUUUUGGAUUUAUAGUAUUAAAUAAAUUUAAUACGAAAUUUGAUUAUAUUUUAUUAUUAAAUUGGAUAAAAAUGAUAUAAUAGUUAAUUUUUAAAAAAAAAUUAACUAAACUAAAGAUAGAACUCAACUAAAAAAUUUAAAAAUUAAGAAAUCAAAAAUAUUAAAGGGCAUAUUUCAAAAUAACCAAUAGUUAAGGGAUCAGGUCACUCACCAUAUAUUUUCACCUAGCAUUUUGCUGGGCGGUUCGCCAUGCGGCAUCUAUUCGCAUCGUUCCCAAACUAUUUAGUUUGAAGACAAUGCUCAUAUACUUUUUGUCCCAUGAGAGACAAAGGACGAGACAAAUAAUGCGAGAAAAGUGGCGGUCGCACAUGUUAUCUCAAUACUAAGGGAUUCUGAUUAGGAUUUGCAGGAGACUAAUGUCUCAUUUAGUACCAUUAUUUUUCUUUUUUAUAGUUAAUUUUAUAAACUUUAAUGUGUUGGAGAAAAGAUUUUUCAUUUGUUGUUGUUGAUUAUAUAUAGUUCAUUUAAUGCAUCAGGCUAAAUAAUAAAUGACAAUUUAUUUAAAAAAAUAUUGAAAGUGAAAAAAUUAUUUGUAAAUUUUUAUUUUUUUGUUGUCAAAUAAAUACUUUGAAUGAAAAAGCUGUUUGCAAUUCGAUGUCCAGUUCCACACUUUUGAUACACAAAAAAUUAUUCGAAAAUAUAAAAAGUAAACGCACGCAAUUCAGACACACGAGGCCUGAGCUCUCGUACGUCCUUUAAAAUAAACUGAUUUAUCUUAACAUAACUGUGGAUCUGGAUCUAACGAUCGAUCAGAUUACGUUUUAUAAGAUAUAUAUAUAUAUAUAUAUAUAUAUAUAUAUAUAAAAUUAGGCUGGAAUACUAUUAAUAGUAAAGCGCUCUUUUUGUUAUCAAAUUUUUAAUCCUUGGAUGAAAAAUUGUAGGGUCAGGAUGAUAUUAGUUAGUUGAGUGGUCCCCCUAGGGUUGAGUCGUCCCUAGUGGGUUAUAGUAUUUAAUCCAAUGGAUAGAAAUAAUGAAAAGAGUUGAUCCAAAGGCUAAAAAACUGGUAGCAACAAUAGGAUUUUGCUACUAAUAGUAGCCCAGUCCAACUCUAUAUAUAUAUAUAUAUAUAGAGAGAGAGAGAGAGAGAGAGAGAGAGAGAGAGAGAGAGAGUCCGGCUGGGGUACUAUCGAUAGCACCAAGAAUUUUGUACUAUCGAGUUUUCCACCAUUAGAUUUAAUCCUUUAAUUAUUUUUAUCCGUUAGAUUAUACUAUUCAACCAACCACUCACUCAACCCUAGGACCCACAUCAUCCUAACCACCCAUUUCUUAAUCCAAGGGCUAAAAAAUCAAUAAAUUAAUAGCACCAAUAGCUUGGUGUUAUUUUUUUGAGACAGAUAAAUAGCACGCUACUCGCUUCAUUUAUUUCAUUUAGAAAUAAACUUAACUGGAAAUGUGAAUCAACUAGGAUUCGAACUUGGAUCUCGGGUACCAACCACCAAGCCCUUUGCCACUAGCUUGGUGUUAUUGAUAGUAUUCCAGCCUAGUCUAUAUAUAUAUAUAGAGAGAGAGAGAGAGUCCGGCUAUUGUGCUUGUAAAAGCACCAAGUACUUGGUACUUGUAAAUUUUUUACCGUUAGAUCUACGCCUCGGAUCAUUUUCAUCCGUUAGAUUAUAUUAUUCAACCAACCACCCACUCAACCCUAAGGGGCCCACAUCAUCAUAACCGCACAUUCCUUAAUCCAAGGGCUAAAAACUUACAAGCACCAAUGAUUUGGUACUUUUAAAAGCAUAGGAGCUCCAUUAUAUAUAUAUAUAUAUAUAUAUAUAUAGUAUAUUAUAUAUAUGACGAGUGAGGCUACUAUGCUAUCGAAGCACGGAGUCUUCUCCGUGCUUCCAGCUCGUUUUCAAUAUGCGACUUUCAAUCGCGAUCAGCUCCGUUAAACUUGAUCUAGAGUAUUUAAGUACCUAGAAAUAAAUUUUAUGAUUUUGACGAUAUCAUUUGCCCAGUGAACAAAGGGGCUCAAAAUCAACGGCUGAAAAUAAAAAUCUAUAAAAUGUAAUAAUAUGACAUUAAAAUUUGAAAUCAAAGAUAUUGAUCUUUUUUAUAUAUUAUAAAAAAUUUUCUAAUCAAAAUUUCACGUGAUUUGAUAUUUCUUAUAACGUUAAACUUGCAAACGGCUCACUACGGCCUUUGAAAUUUGUUGAUUUUGAGCCCAUUCGAUCACUAGGCAAAUAUAUCGAAAAAUAAUAAAAUUUUUUCCAGUACUCAAUACUCUAGAUCAAGUUUAACAGAGCCGAUCGACGAUUCGAAAGUCGCAACAUCAAAACGAGCUGGAAGCACGGAAGGCUCCGUGCUUCGAUAGCAUAGUAGCCUCACUCUAUAUAUUAUAUUAUAUAUAUUAUAUAUUAAUAUAUAUAUAUAUAUAUUAAAGCUGCGGCUAAAUCUUAUGGAAGCACGGAGGGCUCCGUGCUUCCACUUUGUUUUCGAUGUUCGGACUUUCGAAUCGACGAUCGGCUCUGUUAGACUUGAUUUAGAGUAUUUGAAGUAUCUAGAAAAUAAAUUUAGCGAUUUUUCGAUAUCAUUUGCCGAGUGAUCGAAGUGGCUCAAAAUCAACGGUUGAAAAUGAAAAUCUUACAAAAUAUGAUGAUAUAACAAUAAAAUUUUAGAUCAAAGUUAUUGAUAUUGUUUUAUAUGGUAUAAAGAAUUUCCUAUCAAAAUUUCAUGUGAUUUGGAUAUUUCUACACCUAAACUUGCAACCAGCUCACUACGGCCAUUAAAAUUAUUGAUUUUGAGGCCCUUCGAUCACUAGGCAAAUGAUAUCGAAAAAUCACAAAAUUUAUUUUCUAGGUACUUCAAAUACUCUAGAUCAACUCUAACAGAGCAGAUCGUCGAUUCGAAAGUCUGAACAUCGAUAUUAACUUCGAAGUACGGAGGGCUCCGUGCUUCCAUAAGCAUAUCAGCCCACUCAUAUAUAUAUAUAUAUAUAGAGUUGAGCUGGAAUGCUGUUGGUAGCAAACCGGCUCCGUUGCCACCCAUUUGUUUUCAAUGAUGGGGCCUUUAAAUUGACGAUCGGCACAAUUGAACAUGAUCUAUACCACUUGAAGUAUCUAGAAACCAAAUUUUAAAUCAUUUCGACAUCAUUGACCUAAUGAUCAAAGGGUUUCAAAGUUUAUAAUUUUAAUGGUAGAUACCAGGCGUUUUCUCGUUUAACGGUGUAAAGCUAUUCAAAUCAAUUGAAUUUUGGUUAGAAAAUUCUUUAAACUAUUUAGAAUAAGAUCUAUACUCUCGAUCUUGAUUACAAAAUUCCUAUCAUUACUUUUUGGAGGAUAUUCAUUUUCAGCCGUUCAUUUUUACGCCUAUUUGAUGGACAAGAGAAUAAUAUCGAAAAAGCAUAAAAUUUGAUUUCUAGAUACUUCAAGUGGUAUAGAUCAUGUUUAACGGUGCCGAUCGUCAAUUUAAAGGCUCCAUCAUCGAAAACAAAUGGGUGGCAACGGAGCUGGUUUGCUACCGAUAGCAUUUCAGCUCAACUCUAUAUAUAUACAUAUAUAUAUAUAUUAACAUAUAUAUAUAUAUAUACAUAUAUAUAUAUAUAUAUACAUAUAUAUAUAUAUAUAUUACAGAUCUAAUUAAUUAAGAGCAAUAAGAUAAUUUAGUUGAGUCAUGAUGUUACAGAAAAUUUUCAUUCUUAUAUAGAUCUAUUAAGAAGAAAAUAUUGUAGCACAAUGAAGAAUCCGACAACUACAGGAUGUCAGUGGAUAUUGAUGUCUGAAAUUUUAUGCAACUCGAAUCCGAAUGAAACAAAUUUAUUCGAUACUAAAAUAAAAAACGAAAACCAGACGGAUUUGGCUUCAAGUAUGAAUUUUGACUGUGCCUGAAACCGAACCUGACCCAAACCCAAAUUGAGUUUAUGUUGUUAAUAUAUAUAUAAAGAAAGUAGGACUUGUGUGCUAUUAAAAGUAUGGAAGCUUCGGUACUCCUAACCUAUUUUCGAUAAUUGAAGUUUUGAAUUGAUGAUUGGCUCUGUUAGACUUGAUUUAGUGUAUUUAAAAUAUUUAGAAUUUUAUGAUUUUUUUAUAUGUUUUACCUAUUGAUCGAAAUGGUUCAAAAAUCAACAAUUUUUAAUAGUUGAUGUGUGCCGUUUAUAUAUAUGUUUAACGGUAUAAAAGUAUUAAAAUCAGAUGAAAUUUUGAUGAAAAAAUUUUUAUACUAUUUAUAAUAAAAUUAAUAUUUCUGAUAAAAAAAUUUUAGUGCUACAUCAUGAAUUUUUAUAGGAUUUUUAUUUUUAGCCGUCAAUUCUUAGUCCUUCUGGUCACUAGGUAAAUAAUAUUAAAAAAUUAGAAAAUUUAUUUUUUAAAUAUUUUAAAUACACUAAAUCAAGUCUAAUAGAGCCGAUCAUCGAUUUGAAAGUGACAUCAUUAAAAAUGGCUUAGAAGCACAAAGGCUUCCUUGCUCCUAAUAGCACACAAGGGCUAUAUAUAUAUAGUGAUCUGGCUACUAUCUUCUUAAGAGGAUAGAAGUCUUUGUCUUAUCAAGUCAUUUUGGAUGAUCGGGACUUCAAAUUGAUAAUCGGCAUCGUUGAAAUGGAUCUACACUAUUAAAAAUAUUUAAAAACCGAAUUUUGUAAUUUUUAAAAAUCAUUAUCAAGUCCAUCAAAGAGUCAAAAAAUAAAUGUUCAAAAACAAAUGACCUUCUAAAAACAAAGGUUAGACUUUAUCAAUUUACGAUCGGAGUUAUUAAACAUUAUCUAAAAUAUAGUAUAAAAAAUUUUCUAUCAAAUAUUCAACCAGUUUGGAUUACUCUAUACCAUUAAACAAGUAAACCGGUUUGGAUUACUCUACAAUGUUAAAUAAGUAAACAGCUCAUAUAAGCCGUCAAAAACUGUCAAUUUUGCAAUCCUUUGAUCACUAUGUAAAUAAAUUUUAAAAUUUAGUUCAUAAAUAAUUCAAAUACUCUAUGUCAACUUCAAUGAUUCCGAUUAUUGAUUUGAGAUCUCUAUUAUCAAAAACGAUUUGAAAGGAUGAAGGUCCCUAUCCUCCUAAAAGGAUAACAGCUGGAUUCUUUCUCUCUCUCUCUCUCUCUCUCUCUCUCUCUCUCUAUAUAUAUAUAUAUAUAUAUAUAUAUAUAUAUAUAUAUAUAUAUAUAUAUAUAUAUAUAUAUAUAUUUGAUGUUAUAUUUGGUUUUGUAUUUUAAAAAAUUUAGAUUUUAUGUAAUAUAUUUUGAAAUAUUAUAAAGAAAAAUAAUUAUUUCCGGUUUGGAUUUUGGGUGUUCGGGUCUGAGAUUUUUAGUCGGGUUUGGAUUUGGAUAUGAAUUUUUUAAUCUGUCAUAUUCAGGUUCGAGUUCGGGUUUCGGGAUUGAUAGUCGAGUUCGGAUUCGGGUUUUUAAAAAUCCCCCACGAAUCUGACCCGUUGAUAUCCCUACACAAGUACUCUCGUUUCCACCUGUCACGGCCUUAGCAUUUUUGUUCGCAAAGCCCGUGCGGCGACCGCCUUCCUGCUCGAAGAUGGGCAAGCCUUCGUCCCUGCUACUAGCCCGGACCUUCGCGUCCUACGACUAAGUAUGCAAAGGGAAUGACAGAGAGAGAGAGGCAGAGGUUCACUCAAAAAAACUAAAUACUCCACUACUUAGAAAAAGAGAUUAGAAUACACAAACACACUCCCUCUUGUGUCCUUUGGCCUUAGCCAAACUCUACUAUUUAUAGACUCCUAGAUACAUUGAAUCUAGCCUACACUAACUCUCUCAUUAAGACACAUUAACUCACCCUCAUAAUGAGCCAUAAGCCCAAGAGUCAUCCUAUUAACUCUUGGUAGUUUUGCAACCUUUGAGCUUCCAUCAUUGAUGGAAGAAUUUACAAAACCCUUCAUCUCCCAACAGCAGGUUGCGUUUGGGUAUCCUUGACAACCCGAUUCAACCCGUUUUCGCUAUUGAAGUUAGGCCAAGGACUUAGAUUGCAUAGCAAUUUCGUUAAGUCCUGACAUUCUCCCCCAUCUACCGGGCAGACGCCCUCGUCGCGCACCAAGCUGCUCCAAUCCGCGUAGCUUUUCGUUCAGUCCGCCGUGCCUCCGCGCCCGAACGGCCCUGAGCCUUACUACUGCAGUCCGCCUUUGCUUCUGCACCAGCUCCCAAUGCCUCGCCCCUCUGAGCGUGAACACUAGCUAGCUCGCUGUGCGAAAAAUCCAUCGAGUGUGCAUGUCCUCCGCGACACAGACGCGCACUCCGCCAAGCUGCAGAACUCACCUUGGUCCCUACAUGCUCCUUGAUAGAAUGGCUUGCUCUUUGCUUGGGCGCUGGCUGCUUCAGCGCCGCAUGAGACUUGACAGUCUCACCGCUGCUCAGGCCCUCCUCCUCGAGGCUCUCAGCCUUCCUGCGCUUCACCUGGUCGUAAAGCUGUAGAGCUGUCAGAGUUGGAUCCUUCGUUGGCGCCGAUACAUCAGAACCAUGCAAGGCACUGACUCGUCCAGGAAGCUCAGCACCCACAAAUGUGGCAUGGGCACCGCCUUCGACGAAACAAGGAAGUCCAUCCCAAGGAUCACCCCGAAAUCGUCGAGUGGCCCAGCUGUAAGAUUAGCCUUGCCCCUCCACGGGCCGAUGGCUAUCUCCACCUCCUUUGCAACUCCUGCGAUUGGUCGUGCUUCAGAGUUGACAGCCUUGAUGCAACUCACAUCCUUCUCGAGCUUGAGGCCUAAUCGCUUGGCCUCCGCCUCUGCAACAAAGUUGUGGGUUGCGCCAGUGUCGACCAGCGCUCGCGUGGCCCUCCCGUUGAGGGUCAUAUCGAUGAACAUAAGCUCCCUCCAGCAGAGCUUCUCAUCGCUUAGCUGUCUACGAACUGCGUUGACGAGCCUUAGCGUGCCCAUCCUUGGCAGCUCGAGCACGUCCUCGCUCUUCUCGGCUUGGACCGCAGCAACCUACUUACCUUUGUGGUUGCCCCUGUUUGGGCAGUCCCGUGCCUAAUGAUUCUCGCUGCAAACAUAGCACGAGAUCAUUGCAGGUGGCGGGGUGGGAUUCUGUCGUUGCCUCCUCGUAUCACAAUUUGGCUUGUGCCCCUUCUCGCCCCCUGGAUCGCGGUGCUCUCCCCCACCUUUGGCCUCGGUCGCCUUUGAUGGUUCACCUCGAUCGCCUUCAAUUCGCUCCCGCUCGGGCAACUUCUCCGCCAAAGCGAUCACGGAGUUUAAGUCCUUCACGUCUCGCGCCACGAGCUCCUUGUUCACCCAUACAUGGCUAAAGGCCAUCUAGAAAGAAGAAUAACUGAUCCUCAUCAGCCAUGUUGGUGAUCGCCAACAUCAGCUUGGAGUAUUCUUGGACAUACUCCUUCAAAGUUCUCGAAUGUUUGAGCCGUCGAAGUUGCCUCCUCGCAAGAUAUUCAACGUGCUCGGGGUAGAACUGCGCCUUGAGCUCGCGCACAGAGUCCUCCCAUGUUUUCAGUUGGCAUUGGCCCUUCUCGACCUCUGCAAAACGUCGACGCCACCACAGUAUCGCGUCGUCAGUGAGGUACAUGGACGCGACCUGAAUUUUUUCCUCCUCGUCGUCCAGCCGCAACGCCUUGAUGUAGCGCUCCAUGUGCCACAGAAAAUUGUCGAUCUCCUUCUCAUCGCGGGUACCCCUGAAAUUUUGAAGCUCAUGAAUACGUACCUUUGAAGCGGACUCUCUUUGGGGUUCAUGUCCACGCGCCACCGUUUUUUCAAGGAUCGCCACUCUCGUCUUGAGGUCCUCGAUCUCGUCGACUCGAGCAACGAGCUCCUCGAUCAGGUUCUUUCGCUCCUCAUCACGAUGAGUCAUGUUGCCCUGAAUCUUCUCGAGUUCGCUUCGAAAGGUCGUCAUGUUAGUAGCAACGCUUUCCUCAAUGCUGCGGACCUCAUCGUUAAAAGAGUUAAAGGAAUCAGCCAUUUCGGUGUACCUAUCACCCAUUUUCGAUAUUAUAUCCUCCAACAGCACCAGGCGGUCCUCCAACAACGCAGAAUCCCUCGUGACUGGCCGAGGGUCUUUGCUCUUGCUCCGCUUGGAGGGCUGCUUUGGAGGGUCACCCCCAACGUCAACAACUCCCGCAUCGGAUGACGACAUGGUUCCUUCUCGAACCGGCUCUGAUACCAACUGUCACGGCCUUAGCGUUUUUGUUCGCAAAGCCUGUGCAGUGCUCACCUUCCUGCUCGAAGAUGGGUAAGCCUUCGUCCCUGUUACUUGCCCUGACCUUCGCGUCCUAUGACUAAGUAUGUAAAGAAAAUGACAAAGAGAGAGAGGCAGAGUGUCACGCCCUGGGACCGGCGGAGGCCCUCCCGGUAGCGUGCCCAGACCCGCCAUAUGUCUACACAUAUAAGGCGUCUACAAGAAAAGCGUAAGUAAAAGCAAGAGAUGGAACAAAUAAAAGAAGUGAAAUAACUAGCAACAAAUGAUAUCAGAGGGAGCAAAGUUCUAACAUCUACACCAAUAGUAGCAGAACGUAACUAAUAUAUAAAAGUAACACAAGCUAUACAGUAUCAGCCUCUAAUACAAAAAUGGUGGUCACUAGUACACUGGUAAAACUCUCAACCUCUCCAAAAUAAAAUACAACGAGAGGUAGACCACCUAGCCAAUCGUCUUCGAAGGAAGCUAGCUCGAAGCAUCUCCCUUCCCGCGGUCCCUGGCCUCACCCUGAGUGGAAGACUCUGAAAAACAUCGAGAAAAAGAGGGCGUGAGAACUAUAAUUUAUAGUUCCCAGUGGGCAAUUACUGACCUCAGCUCCUGCUCCACUAGGCCCCAAAAACAAGGGUAAGUAAUGCUAAAAGCAAUAAGCGAUAAAAAGGAGCAUGUAAAUAAACUGCUGAAAGAGAGAGCAUAAGUAAAAUGCUAUACUACAAUAUCUCACAUAAGCACGAUGUCAAAAUGUUGUACAUCUAUUCUAUCAUAAGGAAAAGUGACCAAUGGCAAUAGUUUACGGUUACCAACCUUUAUUCAUACAUGAUGUAUAAGCUCUAUCAUGGCGGCCAAGUAUACUAUGAUGAAAAAGGUAACUGUCAAGUAUACUACAUGUCUCAACCCUAUACUAUAUGCAUGUAAAUGUAAUCUAACUACUAAACCUAUCUAGUAGUGAUUGUCCAUUCUCAAACCGUGUCGAUUUCCAUUUCCAAUCAGGGACCUACCCAAGGUAGUCCAGCUUGUGGCACCUAAGUGCCUGUGGUAGCCCGACAUUCCUACUCAUGGAAUGUGUCUGUCCCACUCGACCCCGUAGACUUCUCGAUACCGCACGAGCGAACAAAAGUCGUGUAGGCUAACUCCGGAGUGCCGGCUUGUAGGGAGCGACCCUCACAAGCAUGUGCGAAUGAGCACAAAUGGCAAGCAAGCGUAGUCCAAGUCUCAAGUAUCCAAUCCUCAUGUCUCUAACAUGAUAUAGUCACUAGCAUCCCGAAGAUCUAGUUUAAGUCACAAUGUGAAGUUUCAAUAUUUACUACGCCUAGUGCCCCUUGAUGACACUUAGGCAAUUUGAUGUUCAACAUGGAUUCCAAAUCCCUCAAUGGCUCUAUCCGCUAGGUUCACACAUGUCCCGAGCUUAAUGCCGCUUGAUGACAUUAGCUCUUUAGUUCACAUACCUUCUAAAUGGCAAUCUUGUCAUCUUUCACGUCACACGUAAACUCAAGUUUAAAUGCAUGAAUCCGAACUCAUUUGUACUAUAGAAGCAUGAAACCAAAUCUCAUAAAGAAUGCCAAAUGCAACCAAGGAUCUCCCAAGCGACUCUCUACUACAUAGAGGUCCAAAAUUUCACUAUAUAUAACAUAUGCAUUUUAAGCAUUCUAAAAAUCAUAAUAAAUAUAUUUAGUAUGAAGAUACAUGCUUUUUCAAUUUACGGAACAUAUAUAACCAUAUAUGAGAAUUUCUCAUAUGCAGGCUAGGUCGAACCCACCGAACCGUCGCGUAGGGUCUCGAUUCGCCGAACAAAGUUGUCCCCGAGUCUCAAAAUACCCUAAAAGUGAUCAGCAAAGAGAUACGAGGGCAUUACGACCAUCUUAUAAAAUCAAACAUUAACCUAGAAGCAAAAAGGGCCAAAACUAACCUCAAGAGUAGAAAUCCCUUCCAAAGCUCCGAAAAAGAGCUAGAACCCUUCCAAACCAAACCCUAGGAAGGUUCUAAACCAAUCAAUUUAGCCUCAAAAGCCCUAGAUCAAAAAGCCCCAAAAAUCAACCCUAAUACCCAUUCUAGGGUUCCAAAUGGUAAAACCUACCAAAUCAAGGGUUCAAGGGUAGAAUCCAAGUACUAACCUCCCAAGGUGCCUCCAAACAAGCUCCAAAUCUUCUAGGGUUGAAGAUUGGUCCACCACCAAGCUCUACAAGCAAGCUCCAAGCCUUGCAAAGGUGGAAAAGAGAGAAAGGGGUUGAGCUCCAAGCUCCCUCAAGCUAGCUCCUCUUCUUCUUCUUCUCCUCCUUCUUCUUCUUCUCUCUCUAGAAAGUGUAGGGAGAGGGUGAGAAUGAGAGAAAUGGGAGAGGGAAGAGGAGGAAAUGGCUAAUAAGCCCAUCUAGUGUAACAAAAUUCAGAGAAGCCCCUCAAAAAUUCAAUAUUGCAUCAGCCCGGUCUGGGCAGUUUUCGCCCAGAGGGACCGGUCUCUCCCCAGCAGGGACCGGUCUCUCGCUGCGAACCCGAAAAACCAGCGUUCGGGAACCGGUCUCUCCCUGCGCGGGACCGGUCUCUCACUGCGAAGACGCGCUCGGGGACCGGUCUCGCCUGGCAGGGACCGGUUGCCUCAGGCUGCCUCGACACUGCUCACUGGGGGACCGGUCUCUCCUUUUAGGGACCGGUCCCCGAGAGUAAAACUCUCAGGACUUGUCCAGAAUUCCGAUUUUCGAACUUUUUAGGUCGGAAAAUAUUUUACAACCCUCCACCAAGUGUGGAAAAGCUCAAAAUACAUCCAAACACUCGAACCUCGCAAUUUGCAAAGGUCCAGUGUGUUACACAGAGGUUCACUCAAAAAAACUAUGUACUCUACUACUUAGAAAAAGAGAUUACAAUACACAAACACACUCCCUCUUGUGUCCUUUGGCCUUAGCCAAACUCUACAUUUAUAGGCUCAUAGAUACAUUGAAUCUAGCCUACACUAACUCUCUCAUUAAGACACACAUUAACUCACACUCAUAAUGAGCCAUCAGCCCAAGAGUCACCCUAUUAACUCUUGGUACUUUUGUAACCUUUAAGCUUCCAUCAUUGAUGGGAGAAGUUACAAAACCCUUAAUCUCCCCACAGCGGGUUGUGUUUGGGUUUCCUUGACAACCCGAUUCAACCCAUUUUCGCUAUCGAAGUUGGGCCAAGGACUUAGAUUGCAUAGUAAUUUCGUUAAGUCCCUGACACACCGCUCUAAUCUAUGCGUUACUUUGCCACCCUAUUGCUCAAAAAAUUAUAUUUAAUUAUUCUAUAGUUUUAUCUGUAUUUUUAUCUAAAAAAUUUAAUAUCAAAUAGUUUCGCAAAAUGAAAUAUUUUGAUAGCUACAGAAUAGCUAAAUGUAAUUUUUUCAAUUACAAAAUGACAAAACAAAACUGAGCUAAACUACAAGAUAGUUCAAUACAACUUUUUGAACUCCAAGGUGGUGAAGUUAAAAAUGAACUAAUUAAACUACAGGAGAUAAGAUCAAAGUUUACCCAAAGGAAAAAAAUCCAAUAUAUGUUCUGCGUGUCUUAAUUAUUUUGUUGCUCUAUAAGAAAGAUUAGCAAAUGGAGGCCGAGUUUUGAAUUUCUUUUCUUUUUAUAAUAAGUUAAUUAAUUGGGUAAGUAAGCUCUCCCCAUUGGUGCCAAGGCCUAAUAGUAGUGUGCGAGGCCUAAUAGUAGUGGUUGGAUUUUUUUUUUGUUUUUUGAGAAAUAGGUAGCACGCUACCCGCUUCAUUUAUUGAAAAGAUGAACUAAACUACAGGGGUGAGGCAACAUAGGCCUCGGAAGGGUCGGAAAAAAAAAAAAAAAAACACACACACACACACACACACACACACACACACACACACACACACACACACACACACACACAAAGUAUUCGUAGUGGUUGGAAUUUUGGUUUCGAUUGGGCAUCAAAAUAAGUUAUCUAACAAUAACUUAUUCAAAAUGAAAUUUUUUUAUAUAAUUUAAAUAAUAAGUUUAAUUUUUUUAUCUUCUAAAGUCUUAGCAUUCAUGAUUUAAGUAGAGCAAAUAUAGUUAGUGGUAUCUAUCCAUCACAAUCAAUUCUUAUUAUCCAACGACAGAUUCUUUCAAAAACUAUCCUUUAAUUGUAUGUUAUCUCCAAGUGUAUAGAGUCAAUAUGAAGCACCCUAAAUCACAUGAAUUUUUAAUUUAUAGAUUAAUCAAUCAAACCCACUAGCCCCAUUAAUCUUUGAAACUCUAAAGGUUACUAAGUUGAUCUUUCCCCCGACCAACAAAAACUUACUCUAAUAAAAAAGGUGUCAUUGUUUGGUAACUUAACAUAGCUUUUUGAGUAAUUGUUUGUUUCACUUAUUUUCAAACCAGAAUGUCAUAGACUUCGAAUUUCUUGCCCACCAGCCCCUAUUUUGCUAUCACCGAAACUCCAAAGGGGCAAAGUUUUGAAGAUUUAGUCGAACCCUUCUAAAAGCUACUGUGGAAACUCAAGACUACGGAUGUGGAAGCCAAAAAAUCAUAGACUACCUUCAUAUUUCUAUAAGCAAUAAUAAAUGUAGUAGGGAUUUGCAGCUUUCCCUUUUUGCUUGUCGUCGCGCCACCUAGAGCCUUUCUAUUUAUAUCCCCGAGUGGCGAGAGGCUUAUAAAUGGCAGAGAGCCUCGAGCCAACCUUAGCCAAGAACAUUGUUCUCCUAUUUAGAUCCUCAAGUAAUACAACUUCAAUUCCCUCUAGAAUCUUCUCUCUCUCUCUCUCUCUCUCUCUCUUGCAACUUAACUUUAGGGAAAAUAGGUCUACGCUUGCAAGUAGAGGUAGGCUUGCUCAUUCCAUAAAGAAAGCGAGUGCUGCUUCGACCUUUUGCUAGAAAAAAACACAAGUCCUUAAAAGUUUGUAUCAGAACGGGUUUGAGAGGGGAAUCAUGUCAUCAUCCAAAGCCAUUAUCAUCAACUAUGUGCCCGAACCGAAGUAAGCCUAAGCGUAGGAAAAGCUAAGGAGUCGCGGGCACUCGCGAAGGAGACUAUAUCCUUGGAGGACAGUGUGGGACUGUUGGACAAUACUGUGAUGAGAGUAGAGGAGUGGUGUUUUGUUCUAACACAAACCAUAGGGCUGAUGGAUGAUGAGCUUCAUGCAAUAGAGGACAGUGAUGCUGUUGCCUAGGCAAGCUUUCUCCCCUAUCUUGAGUAAUUUCGGAGGAGAUUACACGUCACGACGAUAAAUAUGGGGUGUUGGUUCAAAACCAUACCAACAAGCUCGAAAAAGGUCUAGAAUCUCAAAAAGUGAGUGGCGAUCCUCGAGCGGGUGGUUGCCCGUGGUGAGGAUGCAUAAAAAGUGUACAUCCCAUGAGUCCAUGUCCCCCGAGCCAAGUGCUUCAAGGGUGUGCGAGAUGAAACGGAGAUAGACAACUUUCUAUGGCACAUAUAGUGCUAUUUCAAUGUACUAUUGUUGGACGACGAGGAGAAAGUCCAGACCAUAUCCAUGUACCUUGCAGACGAUGCUUUGUUGUGGUGGUAUCAACGGUCAGCGGAGGCUUAGCAGGGUCGCUACCAACUUUGACACAUGGGAGGACUUCGUGUGCUAGCUUAAUGUGCAGUUCUACUCGAAGUAUGUCGAGUGUAUUGUAUGGAGGCAACUUCGGAGGCUCAAGCACACUACAACAUUGAAAAAGUAUGUAAAGAAGUACGCCAAGAUGAUGUUGGCCAUUACUAGCAUAGAUAACGAGGAUUGAUUAUUUUUCUUCCUUCAUGGGCUCCAACGAUGGGUGAAUAAGGAGCUCAUGGGGUGCAACAUGAAGGACUAGAGCUUCUCUAUAGCCUCGAUGGAGAAGUUAUUCGAGUACAAGAAAGCUAACCACAAUCGUGGCAAGCCUUCCAAAAUAAGUAAAGCCAAAGGUAGAGGAAACCAUUACGACCCAAAAAAAAAAAAUUAAAGGCCAAGAAAAAAGGCUUGUGCCAUACGGAAGAAAGUAUUGAUGUGCUAUGUACGCCCAGAUGAAUAUUAGGCGAGGGAUUGCCCGAAAAGGAAGAAGCUAAAUGUCAUCCAAAUAGAAAAGGGGGAGGAUGUGUUCAAGCUUGUCAACAUAUCCAAGGCUAGCAAAUAAUAGUAAGCCCCUAAAGAAGUAGUUGUUGUACAGCAAUGUGACCCUCAAUAAAAAGGCCACGAGGAUGAUGAUCGACACCGGGGUAAGGCAAAGGUCAAGUGAUUAAGUCUCCAGCUGGAAAAAGACAUGAGUCAUAUAAAGGUUGUUAACUCUCAAUCACAGCCUAUCUCUAUGGUUGCCAAAGAAAGUUAGCAAUUAGUUGGACCGUGAAAGAGGAUAGUAAACUUCGAUGCUACUCCUAUCGAUGAUUUCAAGUUUAUCCUCAGCAUAAAGUUUCCAUCUUCAUCAAAAGUGGUCUUGACGUCGCACUUUGGGGCACUAAGCACAAUAGAGAAAGAAGCCCUAUGCAAAGUUUUGGCUAGCUAGGAUGAGACGGCGAUGAUCCAGGCCCUCUCUGAAUUAAAAGUUGAAAAAGAGUAAAAUAUAAGGAGAUCACCUACCUUAUGGUAAUUCGAGAAGUGGACAAGUAGGGCCUCUAGGAAGAAAGUCUUCCAAUGGAAUUUGAAAUACUACUAAAGGAGUUUUAAGAUGUCAUGCCCCAGGAGGUGCCUAAACAACUUUCACUUAGGUAGGAGGUCGAUCACUCCAUCAAGCUUAAGACAAGGACCAAGCCAAUAGUGAGGGCACCCUAUCGGAUGGCAUCACCAAGGAUCAAGAAGUAGAAGAAGAAAUUGAGGAGCUUCUUUAUAUAAGCUUCGAAUUCAUUCGACAGUCCAAGGUACCAUUCAGCGCAUUAAUGCUGUUUCAAAAGAAAAGUGAUGGAAGCCUGCAACUCUAUAUUGAUUAUAGAGCACUCAACAAGGUGAUUAUAAAGAAUUAGCAUCCUAUCCUACUAGUAGUAGACCUUUUCCACCAACUCGAGUGGAGCUAAGUACUUCAUCAAGCUCAAUCUCUGCUCGAAAUACUACCGAGUGCGAAUUGCCAAAGAUGAUGAGGAGAAGACCACGUGCGUGAUGAUGUACAGGUCCUAUGAAUUCCUCGUCAUGCCUUUUGGCUUAACGAAUACGCCAUCAAAUUUUGCACACUCAUAAACAAGUUGUUCCACCUCUAACUCGAUUCAAUUCAUAUUGAUAGACCAUGAUGGCAUUGUCAUGUACAACAACAUCCUGGAGGAACAUAUCGAACACCUACGAACCAUCUUUUAAGUGUUGCAAAAGAACCAACUAUUUGUUAAGAAAGAAAAGUAUAUAUUCACAAAGAAGAGAUGCACUUCCUUAGCCACUUGAUAGGCUAGGGCCAACUUUGUUGGUAGGUAGGUCAACAUCCUACCAACAUAGCGAAGGCUGAGUUGGGUCAAAUCACAAUCGAGAAGUCUAGGCACUAUGUAUGUAUGCUUUAAGUAAAUUAAUUGUCUCAUUUCUAAUAGCUUGAGUUUUUUAAAUAGAUGUUAAUGCCAAUGAAUCCACAAGUGGUAUCAGAGCAUAUCAAAAAAUCAAUUCCUGCAUAUGCAAUUUGUGUAGGUUCUUGUAGAGUAGAGGGAAGGAUUGUUCGUAGAUAGGCUAGUAUCCUACCAAUAUAGUGAAAGCUAGGGAGGAUUGUUGGUGGGUAGGCCAGUAUCCUACCUAUAUAGCAGAAGCUAGGUUGGAUCAAGUCAUAAUCGAGACUCAUGGGCAUUGAGUUUAUAUACUUUAAGCAAAUUGAUUACCUCUUUUUUUAACAACUCGAGCUUUCGGACUAAGCAAUUAGUGCAAGCAAUCCACAAACUUCGUAAGGAUCAUAAGAAGGUGCAAGUGAAUUGAGAUAGGAGAUGCCAAUGACGGUGACAGAGCUACGGUCCUUACUUGGACUCAUCGACUACCACUGUCAUUUCACUGUGGGCUACUUCACAAGGGUAACCCCGCUAAUGGACUUGCUAAAAAAGAACCAGCUCUAAGUAUGGUCCCCUCGACGCAAGGAGGCAUUGGAGGUGUAACACCCCCAAAUUUGACUAUAAAGGUUUUAAAACGUUUUAAAAUUUUAUUUUAGAGGGGUGAUGGCCAAUUUCAUAUGAUUUGAACUCAAAUUGAGUCAAAACGAAUUAUUUGAGGACGAAAAUGUCAAAACUGUUGACUCGAAUCUGCUAUUGCACAACUAGCCGCUUUGGGAAAGCUUUUGACUAAGUUAUCGAUAUCUGAUUAAGGCAAAAUUAUUUUAAGAUUUUUAUCUAUUUUGAAAGAGUUAUGGGCUCCAAAAAUUAAGACUUUUGUUUUAAUUCGAUAAUAGAGCAUAACAGUUGAAGUGAUGGACUUGAAUAAGCCUAAAUCAUUUAAGAUUAAAAUAAAAAUAAAAGAUUAAUGGAGAUACUCAUUAUCUAUAUGUUCGGUACUUCGGACAUGAUAAAAAUAAAAUAUUAAUGGAGAUACUCAUUAUUUGUAUGUUAGGUACUUCGGACACGCACGCCGGAACUCCUUCGGCCGAACCUUCCAUGUCUUAGAUCGGUCUUUUCUUAUUUUGAGGUGGAAUCCUUAUCUAAAGAUGAUGAACCUUAUUGGUCCUCUUAGUAUCAUAUAUAUAUAUAUAUAUGUAUACAUAUACAUGUAUAUGUAUACAUAUACAUGUAUAUGUAUAUAUAUAUACACAUGUGUAUAUAUAUAUAUANUUACAUUUUGGAAUCAACAAAUAACUAAGAUUAUACUAUCUUCCAAUACAAAUGCAUACCCUCUACUAGUACAAUGUGAUAAUAAGAGACAUGUUAGAGUAUAAGAUCAAAUUCCAUUGCAUCGUAAACUAAAGAAUAAACAACGAGUGCACAAGUUCUUAGAAUAAUAAUUAAGCAUGCAAUAAGAAUUAUAAACAUUCGGUUGCAAUAUAUAUAUAUGUAUAUAUAUAUAUAUACAUGUGUAUAUAUAUAUAUAUAUAUAUAUAUAUAUAUAUACACAUGUAUAUAUAUAUAUAUACAUAUAUAUAUAUUGCAACCGAAUGUUUAUAAUUCUUAUUGCAUGCUUAAUUAUUAUUCUAAGAACUUGUGCACUCGUUGUUUAUUCUUUAGUUUACGAUGCAAUGGAAUUUGAUCUUAUACUCUAACAUGUCUCUUAUUAUCACAUUGUACUAGUAGAGGGUAUGCAUUUGUAUUGGAAGAUAGUAUAAUCUUAGUUAUUUGUUGAUUCCAAAAUGUAACAGUAUUAUUGACACAUUGGCCCUAUUUGGAUUCGCUGCUAUGCUUAUGGCGUUCCCCGGGCCAUCUUGGAUGGCUCUUUGUGAUGUGGGAGUUUGAGUGUGAGAAGGCGCGAGUGGGUUACCGGUGGUGGUCGCUCCCCACUCGGUAAGCCUUUGCUCUCUGGGUUGAAAUUUGCUUUAUAUCCAAAACCAGGGUAUCGCUCUUACGCAUUUACUCGAUUAUAGGUCGAGUUGGAUUUUUGUUGGACCUUUCUAGUUGAUUAUGCUUAUCCUAUGAUACCACCAUUUACUUGUUGAGUAUAGAUGCAAUUGUUGAUCAUACUGGUAGAUUCAUAUGUAUGUCUAAUAACUAUUCAUAUUACAUUGCUUAUCUUUCCAUUGAUACAUACUAUUAGAUCCAAUGGGUUUUGUUGUCUCUUGACGAGCUUCCACUGGGAACUAUUGUUAAUAGGUCUCAUUAUGUGGAUAUUACUAAUUUUUCAGGUAUGGCCUUUGAGAUGAGAUCGGGCGAGGCGACGACUAUAGUUAGAUAGUAGCAUGCUAGAUCAUUUCUAUUUUUGUAUUAUAUGCAUCUUAUCUUUUAUUUUGGACUAUCCUUUUGGAUAUGUCUUAGGCCAUACUGGAAUUAUGAAUUGUACAAACUUGCUACUUGUUAACUUGAGGGCAUAACCUAUUUGGAAGUUUUAUUUGUGUUUAAUAUAGAAUGGUAUUAUGGUAACCAAUUUAUAUUAGUAAAUUUGGAAUGUUUGAAAUUGUGAAUUAUUUGUAAAAAUUUAUAAUGUUAUAAGGAUGUUGAUAUUAACACCGGACAUACUUAAGCUUUCAAUCUUAAGUUAUGUGGCGGGUCUGCAGCUGUUACACCUCCGUGGUAGCUCCACUAUCGGGCGCUACACGAGGACCUCAAGCAUGUAGUGACAGAUGUCUAGUUUUGCAAUUGCCAGAUUGCGAUCGGUCGUUCGAGACACAUAUCAAUGCCUCAAACUUUUCCAUUGGUACUGUCUUUUUGUAGAAUGGGCACCACAUGACCUACAAGAGUCGCAAACUUAAUGAAAUUGAAUGAUAGGACACAGUUCAAGAGAAAGCGAUGAAUCUUGUGGUGCAUUGCCUAAGAACAUAGCAGCACUAGCUCCUUACGGCCAACUUCAUGGUGAAAAUGAUCAAUGUUGCUAUGAGAUAUUUCUAAACAUAAAAGGAGUUGUCAUUUAAGCAGGCGAGAUGGCAAGAAUUCCUAAUGGAUUUUGACAAGGAAUUCUAGUACAAACCUAGGAAGGAGAACUCUGUAGCUGAUGUCUUAAGCCACAAAACAGAAUUAGCUAUGGUGUGCCAACUCCAAGGGACAAUCAGAAAGCAAAUGCAUAAAGGGACUUGCAAGGAGCCUACGACACGACUCAUAAAGAAAAGCAAGACAACCAUUCUAUCUUAGUAACAAGUUAUUCCUUACCGAAGGACAAUGGUGUAUGUACCCAAAUAGGGCAACCUAUGUCAAGAACUUAUGAAGAAGUGCCAUGAUGCCAAAUGGUUGGACUAUGUUGGGCAGAAAUGGCAUUGGUGGUACUUUGAGGCUGCGUAUUACUGGCCCGAAAUGCAUGACGAUAUGUAGGCCUACGUAUGGACUUGCCUAGUUUGCCAAUAGGACAAGGUUUAAGCCUUUAACUUGAAGUGUCCCGACCCACUGGCAACAAAACUCGUUGGAUCUAAAUCACUGACCCAAAAUGUUUAAACCCAUUUAUCAGUGUUGGAGUCUCUAAUCUUUAUAUUUUAAUUAUAAUUUAUUUUUCAUCAAAUGUAAGAUUAUUGAGACAUCACAGACUCCCCUUUUUAAACCAUGAUGUCCUCGUCAAGUCACAUUCCUACCCCAAGAUUACUAGGAGAUGUGAGACCCAUCUCACACUCCCAAUUAGUGAACUAGCUCGGAUACUAAAUAUAACGAUCCGACCCACUAACAAUAAUAGCUUGUUGGGCCCAAAUCACCAGACCAAAAUGCUUCAACCUAGUUAUUUGUACUAGAGUCUCUAGUCCUUUCCAAUCAUUAUUCCUUUCAUGUCCGAUGUUGUACUAUUAAGGCACCAACACAAUGUCCUUGAUCUUUGUCUUACACCAACCUGUCUAUGAGAAUGCCUUUCCAUGUACUUCAUCUUUGCAUUUCCAAAUGUAGGAAAAUUAAGGUCUAUCCUUAUGGUAGCGGAUUAUUUAUCUAGAUAUGGUACCUUGAUCUCGAUACAAGUGGACUGCACGGCGGGUGAAGUGGCAUGGUUCUUUUUCAACCAUGUAGUCAAGUUAUGGAUGAUCACGAAAAAUAUUAUGAGCAGCCGCAACCUUAGGUUCACUGGCAAAUUCUGGACAAAGGUGUUCCAAAUCUUAUGGUUAAAGUUGCUCCUCUCCACUAGCUUCCACCCACGGACGGACGAACAAUCUGAGCAAGUGAAUACUUAGUUGAGAGAGUACCUCCAACACUACGUGAGUGCAAACUAUAAGCAUCGAGUGUACCAUCUCAUUGUGGCUCAGUUUUCUUGCAAUUUGUGAGACGAUGAGUUGUCAAACCACAGCCCACUCAAGCAAGUGGCAGCAAGACAACUGCUCAUACCACAUAUAGCCUGCGAUUCUCCAAUUUGCCAUGAACUUGUAAGAGAAAUGAGACAUUGCAAGAGCCUACCUAGAGAAAGCAACCCAAAGGAUGAAAUAGUAGGCUAAUGAAAAGCAACGGCCCCUAGAGUUCACUAAGAGUAACCAAGUCUUGGUCAAGCUGUAGCCCCAACAGUUCAAAGCUUUGCACAAGGCAUACCGGGGGUUAUUGCUCAAGUUCGAGGGCCCAUUCACUAUCACCAAACGAGUAGGCAAGGUGGCUUACAAGCUGCAAUUGCGUUUUAACUUGCAGAUUCAUCUAGUCUUGCAUGUUAGCUGCUUGAGGCCAUACCAUUAGGAUGUGGAAAAUCCGAACGGCGACGUGCCCAACGCAUUCCAAGCACCAGACCACGUCUUUUGACAAGGCACCGGCACUAUAUGAAGUCGUAUACUUCUAUCAAGCAUAAAGUACCUAGUGAGUGGAAUGAUCUUUUGCACGGUAAGGCUAGCUGGGAGAAAAAGGACGAGGACGCCCGCACAUUAGGUAGGAGAGGUUGUCUUGGAACUUAGAAUUUUCUUACCUACCUAUCCUAUUUUGCAAUCAAUUAAACUCCAAAAAGGGACAAUUUUUGGAGGUUUAGCUGAAUCCUUCCAAAAACUACUCUGAAAGCUCGAAACUAUAGGUGGAAAGCCGAAGAGUGAUAGGUCACCUUACAUUUUCUAGAAGCUAUAAAUAUAGUAAUUAGAAGUUGUGGCCUCCCCUUUUGGCUUCUACCUUUGCGCCACUUUGUGCCUUUUUAUUUUUUGUCUGCCACCACGAAUGACGCACCUCGCAGGGUCGAUGGAUUUUGGCCGUAGGGUAGUAUUCAUGAUUCAGAUUAGUAUUUAUACGUAUAUGGGUAUCAGGUAUUGCAGGUCCAUGGCUUCCAAUAGAUGCAAGCAUCUAUUGUUAAUUACUCGCUGUAGAUUGGGGUACCUUCGAUUAAGAGACCUUCAUGGAGAGGGUGGGAUGAAUCUUAUCUUGAUUUAUUGAAUCCUAAGUAUAUGUAUUAGGAUUCAGUUGGAUUUGAAAUUGACUAGGUCCUAAGUAUAUGUGUUAAGAUCUAGUCGAUAUUAAACUCUAUGUAUUAGAGUCUAAUUGGCUCUAAGUAUAUGCCUUAGAGUUCGAUUAUAUUCACUUUGGUCGUAUAUUCCAAGGUGGAGAUGUGUCCAUACCCCAAAUAUAUGUAUUGAGAUAGGUCGGAUUUGAUAUUAUCCGAAAGUAGGGAGUGGCUAAUUUAUGAGUGUAAGUAUCAGGAUUAACCGAGUUUAAUAUAUUUUUCACUCUACUUAUAUGUUCUAAAGUAAGGAUCUGACUAAGCCCUAAGGUAUUGCGUUAAGGUUCGUCGGAUUUGAUUUGCAUGAGCUCUUAGUAUAUGUAUUAGGGCUCAAUUUGGUAUGGAUUUUACUCUAGGUAGAUAUGCUAGAGCAAAAGGUUGACUAGACCCAAAGUGUAUGUGUUAGGACCAGUCAAGCUUAGUUUGACUUCGACUCUAGAUAUAUGUGCUAGAGCAAAAGGUUGACUAGACCCUAAAGGAUAUGUAUAAAGGGUUAGUCAGAUGAACUCUAAGUAUAUGUGUUAGAGUUCGAAUAAAUUUGAUAUCAUUUGACUGAAUUCUAAGUACAUAAUUUAGAACUCUGUCGAUUUGGAGAUGAUUUUGCCUUAGUUAUAUUUGCUAAGACGAUUGACUUAGCCCUAAGUAUAUGUAUUAGGGGUAGUCGAUAUUUAAUUUUCACUCUAGGUAUAUGAGCUAGAGUAAAAAAAAGGUUCAUGAUGAACUUUGGGCAUGAAAUUUGGGUAUUGGUUCAUAAGAUUUGGAUAUUUGUUCAUGAGAUUUGGGUAUAUAGGAUUUGAACAUGAUUCAGUUCAUGAGGUUAAGAUAUAGUUCAUGUGGUUCAUAAGAUUUGGAUAUAGUUUGGUACAUGGCUCAUAGGAUUUGGUAUAUGGUUCAUGAGGUUUGGUAUAUGGCUCAUAAGGUUUGGCGUAUGAGAUUUGGUUCAUGGGAUGUGGUGUAUAGUUCAUGAGGUUUCUGUCUCAUAAGGUUUGCUGUAUGAUUCAUGAUAUUUAGUUCAUGAACUCGGGUAUGGUUUAUGGGAUUGGGUUCAUGAACUUGGUGUAUGGUUCAUGGGGUUUGGGGUUUGGUUUAUGGUUCAUAAACUUGGUGUAUUGUUCAUGAGGUUUGGUUAUGGUUCAUGAACUUGGUGUAUGGUUGUAUGGUUCAUGAGAUUUGAGUCUUGGAUUUGUUUCAUGAACUUGGAUAUGGUUCAUGGGUUUAGUAUAUGAACUUGGUUUAUGGACUUGGUUCAUGAUUCAUGGACUUGGUUCAUGAUUCAUGAACUUGGUUUAUUUGGUUCAUGAACUUGGUUUACGGUUCAUGAGAUUUGGUUCGUGAACUUGGGUAUGGUUUACGGGUUCAUGAACUUGGUGUAUGAUUGUAUGGUUCAUGAGAUUUGGUUCGUGAACUUAGAUAUAGUUUAUGGCAUUUGAUAUGGUUCAUGGGAUUUGGUUCAUGAACUUAGAUAUAGUUUAUGGCAUUUGGUUCAUGGUUCAUGAGAUUUGGUUCAUGAACUUGGUGUAUGGUUUAUGGGUUCAUGGUGUAUGGUUCAUGAACUUGGACAUGGUUCAUGGGAUAUAGUGUAUGGUUCAUGAAUUUGGUUCAUGAACUUGGAUAUGGUUCGUGGUGUUUGGUUCACGAACUUGGUUCAUGGUUUAUGGGACUUGGGUAUGGUUCGUGGUGUUUAGUUCACGAACUUGAUUCAUGGCUUAUGGGACUUAGGUAUGGUUUACGGUGUUUGGUUCACGAACUUGGGUAAGCUUCAUGAACUUGGUUCAUGGUUUAUGGGAUUUAGUUCAUGAACUUGGGUAUGGUUCGUGGUGUUUGGUUCACGAACUUGAUUCAUUGUUAGUGGUGUUUGGUUCACGAACUUGGUUCAUAGUUUAUAGGGUUUGGUUCACGAACUUGGGUAUGGUUCGUGGUGUUUGGUUCACGAACUUGGUUUAUGGUUCAUGGGAUUUGGUUUAUGAACUUGGGUAUGGUUCGUGGUGUUUGGUUCACGAACUUGGAUAUGGUUCAUGGAUUUGGUAUAUGAACUUGGUUUAUGGACUUGGUUCAUGGUUCAUGAACUUGAUUCAUUUGGUUCAUGAACUUGGUUUAUGGACUUGGUUCAUGGCUCAUGAACUUUGAGGUUUUGUUCAUGGUCUAUGGGAUUUGGUUUAUGAGAUUUGGUUUACGGUUCAUGAAAUUUGGUUCAUGAACUUGGGUUUUUGAUAUAUGACCUUGGGUAUAAGAUUUGAUUCAUGAUUCAAGGAAUUUGGGUUCAUGAGUCCAAGUUGGAUUCUUGAUUUCGGUUUUAGGUUUGGGUUUUUUACGUGGACUUGGUUUGGAUUGAGUUUGGAUUUUAUUUGUGGACUUGACAUGGGUUUUGGGUUUGAGUUCUAUUUGUAGACUGAUUUGGAUUUGGAUUUGGGUUUUAUUUGUGGACCGAUUUGGUUUUGGAUUUGAAUUUGGGUUUUAUUUGUGGACUAAUUUGGUUUGAAUUUGGAUUUGGGUUUGGCUUCUAUUUGUGGACUGAUUUGGAUUUGGAUUUCUUAUUUGUGGAUUGAUUUGAUUUUGGAUUUGGAUUUUGAGCUUGAUUUGGAUUUUGGGUUUGGGCUUUUAUGUGAACUUCGUUUUCUUUUCAAUUCUAUUUCGGGUUCGAGGAAAUUCGAUUUGGGGUCCGAAGAAAUCCUCUUUUGAUUUUGCAAUUCGAUUUGAGGUCCGAAAAAAUCCCCUUUUGAUUUUGCAAUUCGA
rnacentral:lncRNA from 1 species